rnacentral:lncRNA from 1 species
UAUAAUUUUUACCUUUUUUUUAAAAAAUAUAAUAACUGGUUAAUCAAAACUCUAACUUUUAAAAUGUUUACUGAAUCAAAUCGAACUAAUUCUAAAUUUUAAUAAAACUAAAUUUAAAUCAGACAUGAAUCAAAAUUUUCAGUAAUUUUUUUAAAAGCUAAACUAACCGAAUAUCAAACCAAGUUUUAUUUUAGAUUGAUUCGGUAAAAUUUAUGUUCAACCGAACUUGCUUAUCCAACUUUCAGAUUAAAUCUGAGCAUUUGGAUUUUCGAGUCGGAUUCGGUCGGGUUUGAGUUGGGUCUUGUCGGGUUUUUUGGAACCAGAUCCGAUAAGAUAUUUAAAAUUUAUCGGUUCAGAUUCUAUCGGGUCCGGUUUCGGUUUGGCUCCGGUCAUUUCGGGUCCGAGUAAAAUGCAAGGCCUACUUCAGACCUAAUUGACUCAAACAGAGUCGGGUCGGGUCGUCAUCCAAAUCCUUUUAACAGCAAACCCUAAUUGCCGCCGAUAUCUCCCUUAACCCUUCUCUUCUAAACCUUCUCAAGCUUCGCUCUCAGAGAUGGCGAAGUGUGGUAAAAGUAAGCUAAAAUCCCUCAAUUGAUUCUGGAAUUUUCUCUCUAGGUCUUUUUAUUGAGUUGUUUGAUGCUGUGAUCGUCCUUUUUGUAGAGAGCAAGAGUAAGAGGGUGACCUUGAAGCAGAAGAACAAGGUCCUUAGAAAGGUGAAGGAGCACCACAAGAAGAAGGCAAAGGAGGCUAAGAAGCUCGGCCUUAACCGCAAGCCGAGAGCAGAGAAGGACCCAGGUAUCCCCAAUGACUGGCCUUACAAGGAACAAGAGCUUAAGGCCUUAGAAGCUCGACGCGCCAGUGCUGUGGAGGUGAUUGAACAGAAGAAAGAGGCCCACAAAGAAAAGGUAUCAAACUUUGUUUUGAUUUAUUGUGAAAGCUUGAGUUUUUUUGGUUAAAGACAUGUUCUUUUUUUGUGUCUUGCUGUUUGGUUUUCUUGUAAUAAUUAAUUGUAAAGUGAUGUUUGUGUUCUGAUCUCUCUUACUAAGGCUAAAAAGAGGAAGCUUGAGGAUGAGGAGACCAAGAGUGGAGAUGACUCAACUAGACUUGUCAAUGUUCGAGGUGAAAUUUUAUUGUGCUUUUUGAUUUUAUAUUUAAGUGAUUUUAGUCUACCUUUGUAACAUAUGUUUAUUUGUUUCACAGAUAACUCGGAGAGGGCUUUCUACAAGGAGCUUGUGAAAGUCAUUGAACUAUCCGACGUCAUUCUCGAGGUUCUCGAUGCUCGUGAUCCCCUCGGCACGCGUUGUACCGACAUGGAGAGGAUGGUGAUGCAAGCUGGUCCCAAUAAGCACCUAGUGUUGCUUCUCAACAAGAUUGGUAAAGCUUUUUCUAUAGAAGCUCUCUGCUCUCGUGCUGUUGUUGUCAAUCAUUAGACUCAUAGUCUCUCUUUGUACUACAGAUCUUGUUCCUCGAGAGGCUGCUGAGAAAUGGCUUAAGUACCUUAGGGAAGAGUUUCCAGCUGUUGCCUUCAAAUGUAGCACCCAGGAACAGAGAUCAAACUUGGGUUGGAAGUCUUCUAAGGCGUCGAAACCAAGUAAUCUUUUGCAGACGAGUGAUUGUCUUGGAGCAGACACUCUUAUCAAAUUGCUGAAAAACUACUCGAGAAGUCAUGAGGUUGCUUUCUCAUAAUUUGCUUUCAAUGAGUUGCAUCAUCCAGUUUUGGAUUAAUCUUUCUCUGUUGUUUCGUGUUUCGGCAGUUGAAAAAAUCUAUUACAGUUGGUAUUAUUGGACUACCCAACGUAGGGAAGAGUAGUCUUAUCAACAGUUUGAAGAGAGCUCACGUUGUCAACGUCGGCGCCACUCCUGGACUAACCAGGUCUCUCCAAGAGGUUCACUUGGACAAAAACGUGAAGCUGCUGGAUUGUCCUGGAGUUGUGAUGCUCAAAUCUUCAGCGAAUGAUGCUUCUAUAGCUCUCCGCAAUUGUAAAAGAAUCGAGAAGUUGGAAGAUCCAGUUAGUCCAGGUAAAUUGGAAACUAUGCUAAUUAAUGAUUGAAUAUAUUCAAAUUAAUCUCAGUGAUCUAACUGUGAAACCUUGUUGGGGAAUCUAGUGAAGGAGAUACUCAAGCUUUGUUCACCACAACUGCUGGUGACUCUGUACAAGAUCCAGAGCUUCGAGGCGGUUGAUGACUUUCUUUAUAAAGUGGCUACUGUAAGGGGGAAGCUUAAGAAGGGUGGUCUUGUGGAUAUCGAAGCUGCUGCGAGGAUUGUGUUGCAUGACUGGAAUGAAGGUGAGGUCAUUAUUGUCUUUUAGUUCAGUCAUAAAACAUGGAAUCUUGAAAACUUAUUAAUUGUGUGCAGGUAAGAUUCCGUUCUAUACAAUGCCGCCAAAGAGGGACCAAGGUGAACACGCAGAGUCAAAGAUUGUGACGGAGUUGGCUAAGGAGUUCAACAUUGAUGAGGUUUACAGUGGUGAGUCCUCUUUCAUUGGGAGUUUGAAGACUGUUAGCGACUUCAACCCUGUUGAGAUUCCUUCCAGUGGUCCUCUCAGUUUCGAUGAAACUAUGAUCGAGGUUGGUUUGGUUGGUUAAUAGAUUAUCUCGUGAUUCCAUUUACUUGGUAUGGUUUAACAUUUGUUACUUAUCACAGGAUGGGUCUAAGACUCAGACCAAAGAAGAAGAGGCUGGUCUUGACAAUGAUGGUGAUGAGUCUAUGGGAGGGGAAGAGGAGGAAGAAGAAAUAGGAAAGUUGAAGUCCGAGGCGAGCAGGCAGAACAGGAAGCUAUACGCAGCUGAGAGCAUGCUUAACACAAAGAGGCAGAAAGCAGAGAAGAAGCAGAGGAAGAAGGCGAAGAAAGCAGCAGGUGGUGAGGAUCUUAUGGACGGAGAUUAUGAUUUCAAAGAAGAUUAUGGGAAGAAGAACAAAGAUACAGCCAUGGAUGAAGGAGAUGGUUUCCAAAUUGAUGCUAAAAUACCAAUGGCGGCACUUCUUGAUUUGCCUGAAGAAUGAGGGAGAGAUUAAACAAACAAUCGUUUUGUUCUUUGUGUUUAUUUAUGUGCUACUACUCAUACAUGUGUUUUGCUUCAUCAAGCGAUUUUGAUUCUACUGUACCGGUUUUUUUUUGAUCCAUCAGUUAUGUUAGUUUAUCAAAUCUAUUACAAUAAAGUUGACAACUUUCACUUUCUAUGAAGCCACCUCAAAGAAGAAGGUUCCUCCUUUGGAAACAGAAGAUACGUGUCCUCCAUUCUAUUGUAAAUUGAAGUUUGACAAAUUAUGUUCGAUCAUGACUUCAUAUGGAGGCAUGUUUCUUUUAAUUGAAUAUGUGACAUAAUUUUCAGUCCAAUAAGAUAUUACCGCUUCGUGCUCUGUCUUCGUCCCUUCUUAAUUGCGAACCUGAGAAAUAAAAAUAUCCACCUAAACCGUGAAUGUGUAAAGUUAUAGAAUUUAAUGUUGAAUUAAAUUGUCUGAGUAACUUCUUCCUCCAAUCAAAGCUACUCAUAACUUCAUCUCCUCUGUGACAUUUAAACGCUUCACCUCCAACCAAGCUCAGCAUAUAUACUCCCAUAAUCAUAAGCCUCCUCUACUUCCCAAUCAUGGGCGGAUGCAGAGAAUUUAUUUGUUGGGGGCAUAUGUAAAUUGGUCAAUGGAUUAGGACUAUAUUUGCUAAAAACAAUGGGGGCAUAUUAAAUUUAUUCAAUGAUUAACAUGAAAUUUUAAAAAGUUGUUGGGGGCAAAUGCCCCCCUCUCACACACCCCUCUCACACAACGUGGGUGAAUCAGCAGUUCUCCUCGCCUACUCUAUAGUUCUAGUCUGCAUUUCUCGGCCUGGUAUCCUACACCUCGCGUUAAUGAUAUCUAGGCGGAAGCCCCACGUACGGUUUUGAAGCCGAGAAUUCUGGCCACCUUAAGGCCAAGAAAGUAUUUUAGAGAACGCCCCGUAACACUCCUUCCGAUUCGAGAACACCUAAGCCUGUAAUUGACGGCUGGAAGGAGCUAUCCUACUCUGGCUACGCCACUGUUCCCAAUCAUCUCACUAUUAAGUAAUAACCAACUACAUACAUUGUUUACAGAGUAUAAAAUAUAGCUUCCAAGCUCCACCGCUCCGGCGAACUCAAUCUCCACAACCUCGGCGAAAUUCAAAACCGCCUCCAUGGAUACUAUUCCCGAAAACUCGACCAGAAAAAUCCCAACAAGUCCACCACCAAAGCUCCGGCGAAGUCCAACACCGGUUCCUUGGAUAAGAAAAAAGGAUUUACAGCUCCAGUGCUCUGCCAAAUAGCCGCAGCAUCUGCCAUCGUAUACAUAUUCUACCGUCUUCGCCAGUGGACUCCAACGUCUCUUCCCUCAAAGUUUGGUCACUUCGCCGGUAUAUUAGAUAUAAGAUGGUCACAAAGGCGUUCAGGUAUGCUGCAAUUUGUAAAUCGUUUAAUUGAUAUGAGCAAUAUAGAGUUUAAAUGCCAACUUUUCGAAACGAAGCGGAAUGUGCUACUUUGGCGUUUUCUGGUGGUCUUUCACGACAAGUCCAUCAAGAAAAUGACCAAACAAGGGCCAAAUGAUUGACCUGAAACCACUUGAUGUUCUCGAUAGUCUCUCUAAUACUGUUUAUCUUGACUGUUUAUUUGUUUCAAUAGUCUGAAAUCUUUUAAUGGUUUUUGCAGCUGGAUGCUCAUUUUGUGGAAUGUAGGCAGCACAUAGAUUAUGGUGAUGAAAUGUAUUAUAUACUCAAACAACAUCAAAGAAGCCAAGUAUAACAAAGGCAGUCAAGUAGUCAUCAUUGCCUUACCCGCUUAUUCCCUUCUUAACGAGCUUCUAUGCUAUAUCAAAUCCAGUUCCACCGGUUUGUUACAUAUUGAAAUACUGAAAUUCUUUCUAAUCAAAAUUUAUGUAACAUAAAAUCGCUAUUCUCUAGAUAAACGAAGAAAACAAAAGUUCCAAACCUCUUUGACGAUCAUCAUAUAUUAGUAUAGGAGGCAACUAUGCCUUAAAACAAUAUUGUUAUAUUUUUUUAAUUUUUCUCAAAAUCUAUGUGUUAACACUCUAUAUACUGAAACCUAAACUUUUUAUUGUUGCUUUAAAAUUUCUAACCAUAUUUUACAUUUGUAUUAAUGUAUUUUAAACUUUCUUUCAUGGUAUAAGAGAAUAAUUAUAAUUUUUUAUUAAUUAAUUUAGUAAAACUUCAUAAUACUCUCAAAAUCGGUGGAAUAACCACUAUAAAAUGGCUAUUUUCUUGAAAAACGGAGACAAUAAAAGCUCCAAACCUCUUUCAACAUCAUCAUAUGAUAGUGCAUGAUGCAACUAUGCAUUAAAAUAAUAUUGUCACAUUUUUUAAAAUUUUCUCAAAAUCUAUGUGUUACAAAAUAAUGAAUUUUGGUAAAUACUUUAUAUACUGAACCCUAUAAUCUUUAGUGUUUCUAACCACAUUCUACAUUUGUAUCAAUGUAUGCUAAACUCUCUUUCAUAAUACAUGAGUAUCAUUUAUUUUUUUAUAAAUUAAUUUAGUAAAAUUUCAUAGACUCCCUAACUUAGUGGACUAACCAUUAUAAAAUCGCUAUUCUCUAGAGAAAUGAAGACAACAAAGGUUUCAAACCUUUUAGACCAUCACUGUAUAUUAGUACAUGAGGCAACUAUGCAUUAAAGCAAUAUUGUUAUAUUUUUUGAAUUUUUCUCAAAAUCUAUUUGUUAACCCCUACGAAAAUAUUGAGUUUUACGUUAAACGCUAUAUAUACUAAGCUUAAAGUUUUUAGUAUUGUUUUAAAAUUUCUAAAAAAAAUUCUAAAUUUGUAUUAACGUAUGUUAAACUCUCUUUCAUGGUAAAUGAGAAUCGUUAUAAUUUUUUAUCAAUUAAUUUAGUAAAACUUCAUAAUACUCCUUAAAUCGGUGGAAUAACCACUAUAAAAUCAUUAUUUUCUUGAAAAAUGGAGACAACAAAGGCUCCAAACCUAUUUCUAUAUCAUCGUAUGUUAGUGCAGGAUGAAACUAUGCAUUGAAACAAUAUUGUCAUAUUUUUUAAAAUUUUCUCAAAAUCUAUGUCCCCUACAAAAAUAUUGAGUUUUGGUAAAUGUUUAAUAUACUAAACCAUAUAAUCUUUAGUACUAUUUCAAAAUUUCUAACCACAUUCUAUAUUUAUAUUAAUGUAUGCUAAACUCUCUUUCAUUGUACAUGAGCAUCGUUAAAUUUUUUUAUAAACUAAUUUAGUAAAAUUUCAUAUACUCCCUAAAUUAGUGGACUAACCAUUAUAAAAUCGCUAUUCUCUAGAGAAAUGAAGACAACAAUGGUUCCAAACCUCUUUGACCAUCACCAUAUAUUAGUACAGGAGACAAGUAUCCAUUAAACCAAUAUUGUUAUAUUUUUUUAUUUUUUCUCAAAAUCUAUGUGUUAACCCGACGAAAUUAUUGAGUUUUACGUGGAACGCUCUAUAUACUGAAGCCUAAACAUUUUAGUGUUGUUUUAAAAUUUCUAACCACACUCUACAUUUGUAUUAAUGUAUCUUAAACUCUAUUUCAUGGUAUAUAGGAAUCAUUUUAUUUUUUUUAUCAAUUAAUUUAGUAAAACUUCAUUAUACUCCCUAAAUCGGUGGAAUAAUCACUAUAAAGUCGUUAUUUUCUUGAAAAACAGAGACAACAAAAGCUCCAAACCUAUUUCAACAUCAUCAUAUGUUAGUGCAUGAUGCAACUAUGCAUUAAAACAAUAGUCAUAUUUUUUGAAAUUUCUCAAAAUCUAUGUGUUAACCCCUACAAAAAUAUUGAAUUUUGGUAAAUGCUUUAUAUACUAAACCAUAUAAUAUUUAGUAUUGUUUUAAAUUUUCUAACCACAUUCUAAAUUUGUAUUACUGUAUGCUAAACUCUCUUUCAUGGUACAUUCGCCUCGUUGAAUUUUUUUAUAAAUUAAUUUAGUAAAAUUUCAUAAACUCUCUAAAUUAGUGGACUAACCAUAAUAAAAUCGUUAUUCUCUAGAGAAAUGAAGACAACAAAGGUUUCAAACCUCUUUGACCAUCACCAUAUAUUAGUACAUGAGGCAACUAUGCAUUAAAGCAACAUUGUUAUACUUUUUGAAUUUUUCUCAAAAUCUAUGUGUUAACCCCCUACAAAAAUGUUGAGUUUUAUGUUAAACGCUCUAUAUACAGAAGCCUAAACAUUUUUCGUGUUUUUUUAAACCACAUUCUACAUUUGUAUUAAUGUAUUUUAAACUCUCUUUCAUGGUAUAUGAAAAUCGUUAUAAUUUUUUAUCAAUUAAUUUAAUAAAACUUCAUAAUACUCCAUAAAUCGGUGGAGCAACCACUACAAAAUCGCUAUUUAAACAAAAAUGGAGACAACAAAGGCUCUAAAUCUCUUUCAACAUCAUCAUAUAUUACUGUAGGAUGCAACUAUGCAUUAAAACAAUAUUGUCAUAUUUUUUAAAUUUUUCUCAAAAUCUAUGUGUUGUUUUACAUUAAACGCUCUAUAUACUGAAACCUAAACUUUUUAGUGUUGUUUUAAAAUUUUUAACCAUAUUCUACAUUUGUAUUAAUGUAUUUUAAACUCUGUUUCAUGGUAUAUGAGAAUUAUUAUAAUUUUUUAUUAAUUAAUUUAGUAAAACUUCAUUAUACUCCCUAAAUCGGUGGAAUAAUCACUAUAAAGUCGUUAUUUUCUUGAAAAACAGAGACAACAAAAGCUCCAAACCUAUUUCAACAUCAUCAUAUGUUAGUGCAUGAUGCAACUAUGUAAAAACAAAGACAACAAAGGCUUCAAACCUCUUUCAGCAUCAUCAUAUGUUAGUGCAUGAUGCAACUAUGCAUUAAAACAAUAUUUUCAUACUUUUUGAAAUUUUAUCAAAAUCAAUGUGUUAACACCCUUACAAAAAUAUUGAAUUUUGGUAAAUUCUUUAUAUACUGAAGCCUAUAAAUUUUAGUGAUGUUUUAAAAUUUCUAACUAGAUUCUACAUUUGUAUUAAGGUAUACUAAACUCUCUUUCAUGGUAAAUGAGCAUCGUUCAUUUUUUUUAAUAAAAUAAUAUACUAAAAUCUCAUAUACUCCCUAAAUUAGUGGACUAACCAAUAUACAAUCACUAUUCUCUAAAGAAAUGGAGACAACAAAUGAUCCAAACCUCUUUGACCAUCAUCAUAUAUUAGUACAUGAGGCAACUAUAAAUUAAAGCAAUAUUGUUAUAUUUUUUGAAAUUUUUUCAAAAUCUAUGUGUCUACGAAAAUAUUCAGUUUUACGUUAAAUGCUCUAUAUACUGAAACUUAUGUUGAGUUUUAUGUUAAACGCUCUAUAUACAGAAGCCUAAACAUUUUUCGUGUUUUUUUAAACCACAUUCUACAUUUGUAUUAAUGUAUUUUAAACUCUCUUUCAUGGUAUAUGAAAAUCGUUAUAAUUUUUUAUCAAUUAAUUUAAUAAAACUUUUUUAUGGUACACGAGAAUCGUUCAUAUUUUUAUCAUUUAAUUAGUAAAACUUCAUAAUACUAUCUAAAUCAGUGGAAUAACCACUACAAAAUCAAUAUUUACUUGAAAACCGGAGACAACAAAGGCUGUAGCCUCUUUCAACAUCAUAAUAUAUUAGUGUAGGAUGCAACUAUGCAUUAAAACAAUAUUGUCAUAUUUUUUGAAAUUUUCUCAAAAUCUAUGUGUUAACCCUUACAAAAAUAUUGAAUUUUGGUAAAUGAUUUAUAUACUGAACCAUAUAAUCUUUAGUGUUGUUUUAAAAUUUCAAACUACACUCUACAUUUGUAUUAAUGUAUUCUAAACUCUCUUUCAUGGUACACGAGCAUCGUUCAAUUUUUUAUAAAUUAAUUUAGUAAAAUUUCAUAUACUCCCUAAAUUAGGAAAUUAACCAUUAUAAAAUCACUAUUCUCUAGAGAAAUGAAGACAACAAAGGUUUCAAACCUCUUUGACCAUCACCAUAUAUUAGUACAUGAGGAAACUAUGCAUUAAAGCAAUAUUGUUAUAUUUUUUGAAUUAUUCCCAAAAUCUAUGUGUUGAGUUUUACGUUAAACGCUCAAUAUACUGAAGCACAAAGUUUUUAGUGUUGUUUUAAAUUUCUAACCACAUUCUACAUUUUUAUUAAUGUAUCUUAAAAUCUAUUUCAUAGUAUAUGGGAAUCGUUAUUAUUUUUUUAUCAAUUAAUUUAGUAAAACUUCGUAAUACUUCCUAAAUCGGUGGAAUAAUCACUAUAAAGUCAUUAUUUUCUUGAAAAAUGGAGACAACAAAGGCUCCAAACCUAUUUCAACAUCAUCAUAUGUUAGUGCAUAAUGCAACUAUGCAUUAAAACAAUAGUCAUAUUUUUUGAAAUUUUUCAAAAUCUAUGUGUUAACCUCUACAAAAAUAUUGAAUUUUUGUAAAUGCUUUAUAUACUGAACCAUAUAAUCUUUAGUAUUGUUUUAAAAUUAAUAAUCACAUUCUAAAUUUGUAUUACUGUAUGAUAAACUCUCUUUCAUGGUACAUGAGCAUCGUUAAUUUUUUUAUCAAUUAAUUUAGUAAAAUUUCAUAAACUCCCUAAAUUAGUGGACUAACCAUAAUAAAAUCGCUAUUCUCUAGAGAAAUGAAGACAACAAAGGUUUCAAACAUCUUUGACCAUCACCAUAUAUUAGUACAAGAGACAACUAUGCAUUAAAGCAACAUUGUUAUACUUUUUGAAUUUUUCUCAAAAUCUAUGUGUUAACCCCCUACAAAAAUGUUGAGUUUUACGUUAAACGCUCUAUAUACAGAAGCCUAAACAUUUUUCGUGUUUUUUUAAACCACAUUCUACAUUUGUAUUAAUGUAUUUUAAACUCUCUUUCAUGGUAUAUGAGAAUCGUUAUAAUAUUUUAUCAAUUAAUUUAAUAAAACUUCAUAAUACUCCAUAAAUCGGUGGAGCAACCACUACAAAAUCGCUAUUUAAAAAACAAAACGGAGACAACAAAGACUCUAAACCUCUUUCAACAUCAUCAUAUAUUAGUGUAGGAUGCAACUAUGCAUUAAAACAAUAUUGUCAUAUUUUUUGAAUUUUUCUCAAAAUCUAUAUGUUCUUUUACAUUAAACGCUCUAUAUACUGAAACCUAAACUUUUUAGUGUUGUUUUAAAAUUUUUAACCAUAUUCUACAUUUGUAUUAAUGUAUUUUAAACUCUCUUUCAUGGUAUAUGAGAAUCAUUAUAAUUUUUUAUUAAUUAAUUUAGUAAAACUUAGUAAUACUCCCAAAAUCGAUGGAAUAACCACUAUAAAAUGACUAUUUUUAAAAGAAACGGAGACAACAAAGGCUCCAAACCUCUUUCAACAUCAUCAUAUGUUAGUGCAUGAUGCAACUAUGCAUUAAAACAAUAUUGUCAUACUUUUUGAAAUUUUAUCAAAAUCUAUGUGUUAACACCCUUACAAAAAUAUUGAAUUUUGGUAAAUGCUUUAUAUAUUGCCUAUAAAUUUUAGUGAUGUUUUAAAAUUUCUAACUAGAUUCUACAUUUGUAUUAAUGUAUGAUAAACUCUCUUUCAUGGUAAAUGAGCAUCGUUCAUUUUUUAAAAUAAAAUAAUAUAUUAAAAUUUCAUAUACUCCCUAAAUUAGUGGACUAACCAAUAUAAAAUCGCUGUUCUCUAAAGAAAUGGAGACAACAAAGGAUCCAAACCUCUUUGGCCAUCAUCAUAUAUUAGUACAUGAGGCAACUAUACAUUAAAGCAAUAUUGUUAUAUUUGUUGAAUUUUUUUUCAAAAUCUAUGUGUCUACGAAAAUAUUCAAUUUUACGUUAAAUGCUCUAUAUACUGAAACUUAUACUUUUUAUUGUUGUUCUAAAUUUUCUAACGACAUUCUAAAUUUGUAUUAAUGUAUGUUAAACUUUUUUUAUGGUAUACGGGAAUCGUUCAAAUGUUAUCAAUUAAUUAGUAAAACUUCAUAAUACUAUCUAAAUCAGUGGAAUAACCACUACAAAAUCAAUAUUUUCUUGAAAAACGGAGAAAGUAAAGGCUGUAAACCUCUUUCAACAUCAUAAUAUAUUAGUGUAGGAUGCAACUAUGCAUUAAAACAAUAUUGUCAUACUUUUUGAAAUUUUCUCAAAAUCUAUGUGUUAACCCCUACAAAAAUGUUGAAUUUUGGUAAAUGAUUUAUAUGCUGAACCCUAUAAUCUUUAGUGUUGUUUUAAAAUUUCUAACUACAUUCUACAUUUGUAUUAAUGUAUGCUAAACUAUCUUUCAUGGUACACGAGCUUCGUUCAAUUUUUUACAAAUUAAUUUAGUAAAAUUUCAUAUACUCCCUAAAUUAGGGGAUUAACUAUUAUAAAAUCAUUAUUCUCUAGAGAAAUGAAGACAACAAAGGUUUCAAACCUCUUUGACCUUCACCAUAUAUUAGUACAGGAGGCAACUAUGCAUUAAAGCUAUAUUGUUAUAUUUUUUGAAUUAUUCCCAAAAUCUAUGUGUUGAGUUUUACGUUAAACGCUCAAUAUACUGAAACACAAAUUUUUAGUGUUGUUUUAAAUUUCUAACCACAUUCUACAUUUUGAUUAAUGUAUCUUAAACUCUAUUUCAUGGUAUAUGGAAAUUGUUAUUAUUUUUUUUAUCAAUUAAUUUAGUAAAACUUCAUAAUACUCCCUAAAUCGGUGGAAUAAUCACUAUAAAGUCGUUAUUUUCUUGAAAAACGGAGACAACAAAUGCUCUAAACCUAUUUCAACAUUAUCAUAUGUUAGUGCAUGAUGCAACUAUGCAUUAAAACAAUAGUCAUAUUUUUUGAAAUUUCUCAAAAUCUAUGUGUUAAACUCUACAAAAAUAUUGAAUUUUGGUAAAUGCUUUAUAUACUGAACCAUAUAAUAUUUAGUAUUGUUUUAAAAUUUCUAACCACAUUUUAAUUUUGUAUUACUUUAUGCUAAACUCUCUUUCAUGAUACAUGAGGAUCGUUAUAUUUUUUUAUAAAUUAAUUUAGUAAAAUUUCAUAAACUCCCUAAAUUAGUGGAUUAACCAUAAUAAAAUCGCUAUUCUCUAGAGAAAUAAAGACAACAAAGGUUUCAAACCUCUUUGACCAUCACCAUAUAUUAGUACAUGAGGCAACUAUGCAUUAAAGCAACAUUGUUAUACUUUUUGAAUUUUUCUCAAAAUCUAUGUGUUAACCCCCUACAAAAAAGUUGCGUUUUACGUUGAACGCUCUAUAUACAGAAACCUAAACAUUUUUCAUGUUUUUUUAAACCACAUUCUACAUUUGUAUUAAUGUAUGUUAAACUCUCUUUCAUGGUAUAUGAGAAUCGUUAUAAUCUUUUAUCAAUUAAUUUAAUAAAACUUCAUAAUACUCCAUAAAUCGGUGGAGCAACCACUACAAAAUCGCUAUUUUAAAAAGAAAACGGAGACAACAAAGGCUCUAAACCUCUUUCAACAUCAUCAUAUAUUAGUGUAGGAUGCAAAUAUGCAUUAAAACAAUAUUGUCAUAUUUUUAAAAAAUUUCUCAAAAUCUAUGUGUUGUUUUACAUUAAACGCUCUAUAUACUGAAACCUAAAAUUUUUAGUGUUGUUUUAAAAUUUUUAACUAUAUUCUACAUUUGUAUUAAUGUAUUUUAAACCCUAUUUCAUGGUAUAUGAGAAUCAUUAUAAUUUUUUAUUAAUUAAUUUAGUAAAACUUAGUAAUACUCUCAAAAUCGGUGGAAUAACCACUAUAAAAUGGCUAUUUUCUUUAAAAACAGAGACAACAAAGGCUUCAAACCUCUUUCAACAUCAUCAUAUGUUAGUGCAGGAUGCAACUAUGCAUUAAAACAAUAUUGUCAUACUUUUUGAAAUUUUAUCAAAAUCUAUGUGUUAACACCCUUACAAAAAUAUUGAAUUUUGGUAAAUACUUUAUAUACUGAAGACUAUAAAUUUUAGUGAUGUUUUAAAAUUUCUAACUAGAGAAAUGAAGACAAAAAAUGUUUCAAAUGUCUUUGACCAUCAUAAUUUUUUAGUACGGGAGGCAACUAUGCAUUAAAGGAAUAUUGAUAUAUUUUUUGAGUUUUUCUCAAAAUCUAUGUGUUAUGUGUUAAUCACUACAAAAAUGUUGACUUUUGGUAAAUACUUUAUAUACUGAACCGUAUAAUCUUUAGUAUUGUUUUAAAAUUUAUAACUACAUUCUACAUUUGUAUUAAUGUAUGCUUAACUCUCUUUUAUGGUACAUGAGCAUCGUUCAAUUUUUUUAUAAAUUAAUUUAGUAAAAUUUCAUAUACUCCCUAAAUUAGCGGACUAACCAUUAUAAAAUCGCUAUUUUCUAGAGAAAUGAAGACAAGAAAGGUUCCAAACCUCUUUGUACAUCCCCAUAUAUUAGUACAUGAGGCAACUAUGCAUUAAAAAAAUAUUGUUAUAUUUUCGAAUUUUUCUCAAAAUCUAUUUGUUAACCCCUACGAAAAUAUUUAAAUUUACGUUAAACGCUCUAUAUAUUGAAGCCUAAAUUUUUUAGUGUUGUUUUAAAAAAUUUAACCACAUUCUACAUUUGUAUUAAUGUAUGUUAAACUCUCUUUCAUGGUAAAUGGAAAUCAUUAUAAUUUGUUAUCAAUUAAUUUAGUGAAACUUUAUAAUACUCCCUAAAUCGGUAGAAUAACGACUAUAAAAUCGAUAUUCUCUAAAGAAAUGGAGACAACAAAGGUCUCAGACCUUUUUAACCAUCAUCAUAUUAUUAAAGCAAUAUUAUUAUAUUUUUUGAAUUUUUUUCAAAAUCUAUGUGUACGAAAAUAUUAAGUUUUACGUUAAACGCUCUAUAUACCGAAACUUAUAUUUUUUAUUCUUGUUCUAAAUUUUCUAACGACAUUCUAAAUUUGUAUUAAUGUAUGUUAAACUCUCUUUUAUUAUAUAUAGGAAUCGUUCUAAUUUUUUAUCAAUUAAUUAGUAAAACUUCAUAAUACUAUCUAAAUCAGUGGAAUAACCACUACAAAAUCGUUAGUUUCUUGAAAAACGGAGAGAACAAAGGCUCUAAACCUCUUUUAACAUCAUCAUAUAUUAGUGUAGGAUGCAACUAUGCAUUAAAACAAUAUUGUCAUAUUUUUUGAAAUUUUCUCAAAAUUUAUGUGUUAACCUCUACAAAAAUAUUGAAUUUUGGUAAAUGCUUUAUAUACGGAACCCUAUAAUCUUUGGUGUUGUUUUAAAAUUUCUAACCACAUUCUACAUUCGUUUUAAUGUAUGCUAAACUCUCUUUCAUGGUACAUGAACAUCGUUCAAAUUUUUUUAAAAUUAAUUUAGUAAAAUUUCAUAUUCUCCCUAAAUUAAUGGAAUAGCCGUUAUAAAAUCGCUAUUUUCUAGAGAAAUGGAGACAACAAAGGUUCUAAACCUCUUUGACCAUCACCAUAUAUUAGUACAUGAGGCAACUAUGCAUUAAAGCAAUAUUGUUAUAUUUUUUGAAAUUUUCUCAAAAUCUAUGUGUUAACCCUUACGAAAAUAUUGAGUUUUAUGUUAAACGCUCUAUAUACUGAAACCUAAACUUUUUCGUGAAAUACUGCAAGUCCAACACCGGUUCCUUGGAUAAGAAAAAAGGAUUUGCAGCUCCAAAAAGCCGCAGCAUCCGCCAUCGUAUACAUAUUCUAGUGUCCUCGCCAGUGGACUCCAACGUCUCUUCCCUCAAAGUUUGGUCACUUCGCCGAUAUAUUAGAUAUAUGAUGGCCACAAAGGCGUUCAGGUAUGCGUUUGUAAAUCCUUUAAUUGAUAUGAGCAAUAGAGAGUUUAAAGGCCAACUUUUCGAAACGAAGCGGAAGGUGGUACUUCGGCUUAGUUUCUUGAAAAACGGAGAGAACAAAGGCUCUAAACCUCUUUUAACAUCAUCAUAUAUUAGUGUAGGAUGCAACUAUGCAUUAAAACAAUAUUGUCAUAUUUUUUGAAAUUUUCUCAAAAUUUAUGUGUUAACCUCUACAAAAAUAUUGAAUUUUGGUAAAUGCUUUAUAUACGGAACCCUAUAAUCUUUGGUGUUGUUUUAAAAUUUCUAACCACAUUCUACAUUCGUUUUAAUGUAUGCUAAACUCUCUUUCAUGGUACAUGAACAUCGUUCAAAUUUUUUUAAAAUUAAUUUAGUAAAAUUUCAUAUUCUCCCUAAAUUAAUGGAAUAGCCGUUAUAAAAUCGCUAUUUUCUAGAGAAAUGGAGACAACAAAGGUUCUAAACCUCUUUGACCAUCACCAUAUAUUAGUACAUGAGGCAACUAUGCAUUAAAGCAAUAUUGUUAUAUUUUUUGAAAUUUUCUCAAAAUCUAUGUGUUAACCCUUACGAAAAUAUUGAGUUUUAUGUUAAACGCUCUAUAUACUGAAACCUAAACUUUUUCGUGAAAUACUGCAAGUCCAACACCGGUUCCUUGGAUAAGAAAAAAGGAUUUGCAGCUCCAAAAAGCCGCAGCAUCCGCCAUCGUAUACAUAUUCUAGUGUCCUCGCCAGUGGACUCCAACGUCUCUUCCCUCAAAGUUUGGUCACUUCGCCGAUAUAUUAGAUAUAUGAUGGCCACAAAGGCGUUCAGGUAUGCGUUUGUAAAUCCUUUAAUUGAUAUGAGCAAUAGAGAGUUUAAAGGCCAACUUUUCGAAACGAAGCGGAAGGUGGUACUUCGGCGUUUUCUGGUGGUCUUUCAAGACAAGUCCAUCAAGAAAACGAUCAAACAAGGGCCCAAUGAUUGACCUAAAACCACUUGAUGUUCUCGAGAGUCUCUCUAAUACUGUUUAUCUUGACUGUUUAUUUGUUACUAUUGUCUGAAAUCUUUUAAUGGUUUUUGCAGCUGGAUGCUCAUUUUGUGGAAUGUAUGCAGCACGGAGAUUAUGGUAAUGAAAGGUAUUAUAUACUCAAAGAAGCCAAGUAUAACAAAGGCAGUCAAGUCGUCAUCAUUGCCUUACCCGCUUAUUCCCUUCUUAACGAGCUUCUACGCUAUAUCAAAUCCAGUUCACCGGUUUGUUGCUCUGUACCUUGCAAUAUGGUUACACGAACCGUAUCUUUAGAGAUUCUCUGAAUCAUAAAUGUUGUUCGUUUUCAUGAAGAUGACAGUGUAAGGGAGAUAACUACAAAUAAUCUUCCCAAAAAACCAUCUUUGAUUGGUUUUUGAAUCCGUUUCUUAUCAUUAAAUACCAGGCUGAAGCAGAAGAGUAUCUUGCAAAGUUGGUAUUGCUGUUUGGAGAUUAAGAGAGACUUAAAAGCUCUAAUUCCCUUCAUUUGAAAGGAACUAAGAAAAGCUGAGCUUCACAACUAAGCUCGCAGGUAAGCAUAUAAUAAAAACUUCACAUGUAAAUGAAUGUCGUUUCGCUUUAACAUGUGUUCGGUUUUGUUUCAAAGGCUUCAAGGAUGCCCAAAUCAAUAUCAAGAUAUCCAACAUUCAGAAGACAUUUUAACCACAUGGAACUUUGGAAAAACUUUAAGUUAUGUUUGGGUGCCGUAGGUUGUAUGUAUAUAUGAUAUGGGUUUUAUUCGAAAUAGAUAUUUUUGCAAGUUGGUAUCUAAUGUAUGAUGGCUUUGGUGGAAAUAGGAUUCUUGCAGGUUGCUUAUUAUUGUCAUGAUACAAUCCAUUUGGCUUUGGCCGAAGAAAUCCAACGUCUUAAAGAAUAAUUUAUAAAAUAAUGUAGACGGGUACGUUGUGGGAUAUUGAAGAUGUGCCUUAGAGAAUAUGUAACUGAUAUUUUUUGUCACUUUAGCGUUAAUACUAUUUUUAAAACCAUUAAUGUUAAUAUAUUCUGUAUUUAAUAAUGUAAAUGGAUAGUUUUUUUGUUUUAGUUAAAUCUAUACCACUCCGAUAGAAAACUAAUUAAUUUUGUUUAUAAUCUUCACUUAGAAAACAUACUUCCUCUGUUUCUUAAAAAAAUGUCAUUUAGAAUUUUAUUUUCGUGCCGUUUAGUAUUUUCAAUGCGGAAUUUUAAAUAAAUUUUCAUUUUUAACUUCAUUUUUAGUGAAUUAAUUAAAAGGCAAAAAUUUUAGUGUGUGAACAAAGAAUAAAAUAGAAUUUUAAGUGAUUUCUUAAUGCGUGAAUUUUUUUUCAGUGACACUUUUAUUAAAUACAAGAAGUAUAUUUAUUGUUUACAAAGUUUUAUCUAUGAUGAAAAAAAAAAUUACUAUUUAAAUGGACAGAUAUAUAGAAAUUUCAUAUAAAUGCUAAUCUGUAAGUACAAAAGCACUUACCAAUUUCUUAACAUUUUUCAAAUGUUUUUACGAAUCUUUGACUACAAAAAUAAACAAACAAUUAGUUACGUUAUCAUAAAUAAAGACACUGUCCUUAUAGCAAAUUAAAUUUAAACUUCUGCGUAUGGCCAUACAGUGUUACGAUUUACACAUAGCUCGACAACUUCACAUUCACUGACAAUGAUCUAAUAAAAACAGAUGACACCAUCACUGGGAAAAUCAGACACCCCCACCCUCGCCGUAUAUUCAUAAAUUGAUAUGAUUAACAAAUUUUAAAUUAACACAGAGGCCGAACAUGAACGAAAACCAACCAAAGUUUUUUUUUGCUGAAACCAACCAAAGUUUCCCCUCAUCAGCCUGUAAAUUAUUACAAAGUCAACAAAAACUUCAACAAAUCCACAAAUCCACUUGAAAUCUGACCUACAACAUCAUCAUCGCAGUUAGAUCACCUCAGAUAACAAAAAAAAAAUCUUGAAUGCCCCACCAAUUUUUCCUCAAACGAAUAAAUAAUUCCAAAACAAUAACCUAACAACAUUCAAAUCUCCUAGUAGAAGCUCACUUAAAACAUUCCUCAACCAGUAGAAAGGGAAGCAUGGAAACCAAUUAUCAGAAAGCAUCUAAAGAGUUCAGUUCUAAAAACUCAUUUCCUGCAACUGCGAUUUAAAAAAAAAAUUAUUUUAAGGGUUUCAACUUCAACACCAGCUCCUACCAUCCCAGUUCAUUACUAUAAUAAAAAGUUCAAAUCAUAACUGACUAGAAACACUUAUUAAACAUAUAAUCAACAAAUUCAUUCCAACAUCCUUAAUCAAUAGCCCAUCAUAUAAUCUCAGCUCAUCAACUUCCAACACCACAGUGGAAGAACUCAAUUAUUGGACCACAACAUGAAAACUCUAACCACCACACUAAGCACAUAUAUAAGCCAUUCGUAACUCUUUACAAAACAACCUAAGUUCAGAAGUGGCAAUCGAUAAUGGAAUAAACGCGCCAUCGUUGACCUUAAAAACCUAAUAAGUAUAUAUAAUUUUGACAUUAUCCUUAUCAAUGGCCAUGUUAGCCAUUGCCACACUAGCACCUCUCCGUACUUGUCUUUAAAACACUAGCUCCUCUCUUUCUUUCAAAUAUUGCUAAAAUAUAUUCUUCAAAGGUUUAAUUUCCAAUUUUAACAAAAUUUCAAACAUUAUCGUAAAUUUUGUAGAAAGAAUAUGAAGAAACAACACACAAACACGUACAAAAAACAAUUCACCAAAACAAACCUCCCCCGAGCCCUAUUGUUUACAAACAACAUUAGGCUACAAGUUCUCAACAUCCUUAUACUAUGCAGAAUAUUAAAAAUUGGCAAAUAUCAUAGCCAAAUAUUGUUUCACUAUUAGGAAAUAUCAGAGUUUUUGCUUAGUAUUUUCUACAAUUUCAUAGUAACAUUCCCCCUUCUUUCAUCAAUCCCCUCUCUAUGACCUUAAAGACAACCCUAAGCCAAAACAUUUACUAUGUUACACCCACUAUAUUUACGAUACACACAUUACAUAAAACUUUACACUAGCAUGCCAAACACAUAAAAUACAACCAUAUUAAAAGCUCUAUAUCUAUUGACAAUGAAAAUUAUCCAACAAAAUCAUAAAUUUUAAACCAAACAAUCCGCGUGAAACGCGGACAAACCACUAGUAUCUAAAGAAGAUUGAGUUUUGAGGUGCAAAUGAAAUGUACUUUGGCCUUCCUUUUACAAUAUGUUAUAGGUUGCUGUUUCGGGUUAGUUUGGCUGGGGUCGGUCACUGAAAUAAAGUAAAAAAAUUCGGUUUGGUUUCAAAAAAUAUUGGUUCGUUUUUUUAAAAGCAAUUAUCGAAUUUUUGGGUUUUUUUGUACGGUUCGGUUUUUGGUUAAUUUUUGGUUAGUUUGGUUUCAAAACUUUUUAUUGAAGUUGGGUUUUUGGUUCGGUUCGGUUAAUUUCGGUUUAAAUUGGAUAAAAUUAAAAAAAUUUGAUUAUUUUAGUUUGGAUUUUGGUUUUUGAUUCAGAAUUUCGGUUAAGAGUACUGUUUCAAAACUUUGUUUUAGAAAACUGAACUAACCGAUUACCUAACAGAAUCAAAAGCCAAAAUAUUUUUUGGUUGCCAAACUGAACCGAACUUGCAAACCGAAGAAAAUCUAACUUUUCGGUCGGUUUAUACCCGCAGGCACUUUUCGGUCGGUUUAUACCCGCAGGCCUAAUUAUGUUAUCUGGCAGGUGAAAUUUGAAAAGAAGCCGGCUUUGCACAAAGCCAACAAGUUCACACUGAAAAAGUGUCUCAAGAGAGACUGUGAGGCGAACUACAGAUAAGAUGGCUUCAGAUAAAGUUGAUUUGGGAUCUCAGACUGAUUCUUAGUCUCCUAGAAAAAGAGAAGUUGCUGUUGUCAGGAGUUCAUAGCGAGAUUAAGGAGUUUUUUUUUCUAAUGGUAAUAAAAUUUAAAAUUAGAAGGUGACAACACCAAACGAAAAACCAACAAGUAAAAAAAAAACGAAGAAACACAACAUUAGAAACAGCCACAGAGUGCUCUACUGCUCUUCAGGUAUGCCAUGACCUGUCCCAUCUCCUUCACUUUCACGUGCCACCACCGAGUGCUCUACUGCUCUGUGGGUAGUAAGAGAUGUCAUGAGCUGCUCCUGCAGUUCAAAAGACUUCCCUAUCCGGAUCAAGCCGUACCCCAUUUCACACGAAACGGUCUGCUUCUCCGGUGGAUUCUCCAGCUCGGCCACCCUCAGUUGCAAAGCUCGCAUAUAUUUCAGCCACUUCGGGACGGAGUAACCUACCACCAUUGUUUCCGCCUCUGGAAAAACCUGGCCGCAGUCUGCUAUCGUCACAGGCUGGAGAGGGUAUCCAUUGGUGCCACCAACCAUCUGCUCAACGCGACUGAUCACAUCAACUCCAUCCACAACUUCUCCGAACACCACCUGCUCGCCGUCUAAAUCAGGGGACGCCCUCAUGAGGAUCAUGAACUGAGAUUCGUAGUAGUCGUAGGUGGUGCUUUCAUCGUUCCUAGUCAUUGAGAGGAUGAUGCCUUUGCCGUCGUGCUUCCUUUUGUAGUUGUUGUCCGCCAAAGGUUGGCCGUAGAUGGAUUCGCCUCCUCCUCCACACCCGUGAGUGGUAUCUCCUCCGUACCAAAUGAAGUUUGGGGUCAUGCCGUGGAUGAUGGUUCCCUUGUAGUGGAGCGGUAUGCCGGACUCCCCUAUGCCUUUCUCGCCUGUGCAGAGAGCGCGGAAGUUCUCCGCCGUCUUCGGGUUCGUGUCGGCGAAGAGCUCUAUCACGAUCCGACCAACGGGUCUGAAGUUGACGGCGAUUUCGAGGAAGACUCUAGGGUUUGUCGACAUCGGGAGUUGAUCACUCAUUUAGGGUUUGCUACGAUGCGAGGAGUGAUCUUUUUUUGUAUAUUUUUUUUCGAUGAAGGAGUUACUUAUCAUAAAGUUCUUUCUUGAAGACAGUAACGUACCAAACAUGUCAUUCUUUGAUUCAAAACAAAUCCAUGCAUUGAUGGACAAGUUCUGAAAAAAAAAUUGAGGAGUAAAAGAAAAUCUACAAUACUAAAAGCCGAAUAAGGAGUGCAGCGAGCGUGCCACGUCAGCUUUUAUAUUCGGACUAAUCAGAAGCGUCGAAUCCGACACGUCAGACGGGCUCGCGGCUGUUUUGUCUGAAUUGUCGUUGGGCUUCUGUGGGCUUCAUCCUUAGUGGUUGCAAAGUGGGCUUCGUCACACUUUUAUGUCGAAACAUAAAAUACAAAAGAAACUUCGGCGUCUCCGUCGAAGCUUAUCGUCUCUGUCUCUUCAUCUUUUCAUCGCCUCUACCUUUUCGUUUUCUCCGAUCGAAGAGCGAGGAAGCCGAGAGUUAAUCGAGUUUUUACACAAUCAAUACUUCUUUUAUGAUUUCGUUUCACCUCCCCCUUUUCAUCCUUCUUUAUAUAUUGAUCUUUUUAUUUCAUAUAAACCAAAACCCUAGAACCAAUCAAAACUCGAUCCAUGGCGAUGAAACGAAAUGGGAAGUCGCAUGUCUCCUCAGACUCUGAUGAACAAUUCAUGUCCUUCAAGGAUGUCUCUCUAGGUCCCCAUGAAGCUCAGCUACGCUUUCGACUCAUCCAUUUCUGGGAGGCUCGGAACCCGGUGAAGAAGACACUGAUUGGCCUCGAAAUGCUCCUUAUCGACGAACAGGUGCGUUGAUUUUUCAAUCAUAGUUUCCAGAUCGUGAGAUCUAUCUUUCCGGAAAUUUUUGUCGUUUCUUUAAAGCUACGUUUACGAUGAUUGUUUUAGACUUAUACGCUUGGUUAGUUAGUUAAAGUAGUGUUUGUUUCGAUCUGUUAUGAUUCUGAGGUUUCAUUUUAGUCUUUUUCUUAUACGAUUGGUUAAUUAGUUAAAGUGGUGUUUUUUGGUUGUCUGUUUGUUUCGAAUCUGUUAUGAUUCUGAGGUUUCAUUUUAGCCGUUUUCUUAUACGAUUGUUUUUUUUUAAAGCUAGGUUCACGAUGAUUGUUCUAGACGUUUACUUAUACGCUUGGUUAGUUAGUUAAAGUAGUGUUUGUUUCGAAUCUGUUAUGAUUCUGAGGUUUCAUUUUAGACGUUUUCUUAUACGAUUGGUUAAUUAGUUAAAGUGGUGUUUUUUUGGUUGUCUAUUCUAAUUCUGAUGUCACAUUUUCACUCCGUGAUUUGUUAUUUCAGGGAACUGUUAUUCAAGGAUUUAUCCCACCUGGACGAAUUAAGAAGUACCUGCCUGAUAUGAAACGUGGAUCGGUUUACAAACUCAUCAACUUCUACGGAUCGAAAAACAAACCGGUGUAUCGGGUUGCUGAUCAUCUCGCAACCGUGUCUUUCACAUGGAAUUCUGAAAUGUCGGCUCUUCACGAGAUUCCCAUCUCGAUUGAUGAAGACCGUUUCAGGUUUCAUUCACACGAAGAUUUUGAAACUAACUGUGAUCUCAAAGGUGACCUCUACGGUAAGCAUAAUAAUUUUAUAAAUCAUGUGUCAAUUGCAUUGCUUUGUAUAGUCUUUAGUCUAUUCUAUUGCUUGGUUAACGAAAUUUAGAUUUUUUGGUUUGUACAGUUUUGUUAGCCGUCUAACUGAGACUCUUGAUGAAAAAUGUUACAGAUGUUGUAGGCCAUAUGAAGCUGGUCGAUGGACAGACCCUGAUUGAGCGUCCCAUCAUUGACGAUGUGAAGAUCGCUACCACUCGGCACAUCAUGAUUCAUGUGCAAUCACAUGAGUAAGUGUGUACUUUUAUUUCAAGUCACCAUCUCUCUGUAGUUCGUAAAUCCCUAAGAGUUUAUUUUUGCUGUGGGCCUGUGAUGAAACUCUACCUUUGGGACCAGGCUGCAACAGACUUCAUCAAGAAAUUCAACUCCUGUGAAAACACUCCCACGGUGCUUUUGGUCACAACCGUUAAAACCAAGCGUCUCGGAGGUAAUUAUUUAACUUUUAGACUCAUGUUUUCAGUGAUUAAGUGAUAUGAGCUUAUUAACAAUCCUAUAACAUUUUCUUCUUUGUCAUUAGUUUCUAAUUUCACUCAUUCAUUUAUCUCUUUAUAUUUAUGUUUGCACUGAUAUGAAUUAACCGUUUCUAAACGUUUUCUUCUUUAUCAUUAGUUGUUAAUUUUCACUAAAUCCUUUUAAUGAUUCUUCCAUGACUGAACAGGUACCCUUGCCCUGACGUCUAUGUCCUCUACAUGGGUUUUCAUGGACAAUGAUGUCCAACCAACCAGGAAUUAUUUAACAUGGUAUGUAUCCCGUCUUCAGCAUAUGUUCUAUACAGUUUCAAGUGACGCAUACACUUACGCUUAUAUAGUAGUAAAUGACUGAAGCUCUGUUUUAUGUUUUGUUUCAGGCUGGGCUCUAACCCAGAGAUUGCUAAUCAGGUUAGCGCAGACGUCAUCACUAAGCGUGAGACACUGACUAUAGCAGAUAUAUUCUCCUACAUGAGUCAGGAAUCUGCAAAGGUAUAAGUGAAGCUAAAUUACUUAACUCAUUUUAAAACGCUAAUAUAUUUUAAUCACAUGCUUAUAAACUGUGGCAGGAUGCCUUUUUUGAGUGCACGGCUACGAUUGAUGAUGUUGUGCAUGGCUCUUCUUGGUACUAUAUUGGAUGCAGUGAGUGCCAUUCUAAGGUUACCAAAGGCACAAAUUCGUUGAUUUGUACAAACGCAAAAUGUGCAAAGGUUAACACAACUGGUGUUGCACAGUAUGAUUUCUCUCCUUAGUCUUCAUUUAUGGCGUUUGGUUUUUGUUUAUUACAUUUGUGACGUUGGUUUCUGAUUCUUUCACAACAGGUACCGUGCAAAGAUUUCUGUUUAUGACAACACUGAACAAGCUUUUUUCGUCUUACUUGGAGACGCUGGGCGUGAGUUGACUGGGAGGCAUGCAUCCGAAUUAGUUAGCAACUACUUUGAGGUAACUGAGCAUCAGUUUAUGAUCUCAAAUGUUUUUUCCUUAUUUUGUUGCUGAUCUCUCACGUGACUUAACUGACACUAUUACAAUUGAAUGUAAGGCUAAUAAAAGCGAAGGAGCUGACCAUGAGGUACCUAUCCCGGAAGCUCUGAUCAGCAUCAUCGGACAGACACAUAAGUUCUGUGUGAAAGUUACAGAUCACAACUUCUCAGGCAAUACACGAGCCGUAACUGUCACCAAGAUCCUCCCUCUAGACACACCACCACCUACGGAAGCCUCAGUUGGAAAUGACAUUGGUGCAACGUCCGAGGAAGCAAAGCAUUCUGGAAACGACGUCUGUGAACCCCCUACAAGCCGUGGAGAUCCUGCAGAUGAGGAUAGCAAGCGGACGUGUGGCAGUGCUGACCCAGGGACAGCUAAACGCCCAAGAUGUGGGAAUUAGAACUUGGGUUCAUUGGUGUUUAAGUCUACGCUUUACAGUUCAAGGAUCGUUUUUUUUUAAAAAAAUUUGCUGCAGUUUAAGUACUUUUUGGGUUUUUUUCAAAGACAAUGCAUUGUUUGUUUUCAUUUAAAGACUGUCUUUAAAUCAUUUGAGCUAUCUUUUUUAUAAUCUCUGUUGAUUCUUAUAGUCUAUGUUGUCUUUCUUUAUAUCUGAGCAAAAUCUAGAAAAUGUAUAGAGUUUUCUGUAUCUUUUUAAAUCAAUUAUACCAUGAUUACUUAUCAAAAUUCCAUAUAAUGAAUCGAGAACACCUUCAAGAUAUUUAGACUCUUUUAAUAAGAUUGAAUCAUUCACGGUUGUCUAAUAAUUAAGAUAUUUAGACUCAUGUAACUUUAGGAAAUGUGUAUCAUUCACGGGUGUGUAACAAAAUUUUCUUUUCUCUAGAGACAAAUAAACCACUUAACCUAGCUAAUCUUCAACGCCUCAUUCAAGUCCAAGUCAUAUUCUGAUCUGUUUUCAGUGGGAAAUUUUUAGUUAUUUCUAGAGCUUAUCACAGAACAAAUCUCUUUUUAACUUUUUAUGGCUUUUCCUGUUUGAAUCAAAAAGUAAACACAUUUAUCUAAUUGAUAAUAGGUUGGCUGAAAGGAUUGCUGUUUCAACGGAAUGGAUAACCCACCCAAUAAUCAACCCAUAGAAACUGCAGGUAAUUAUAUAAUCUACUGCCUCUGUUUCUCAGGGAAAACACAGAUAUGAAGGAUCGAGUCAUUUUUUGGGUUUUUUUUUAGGAGUUUAAGUUUCUUUUUGGUCAAUGAAUUGGAAUAUCAAAUCCGAUCAAACCACAAUUUAGUUUCAGUUACGGGACUUUGCCAAAAAAUUAUAUCAUUGUUUUUAUGAUAUAUUUAAUUAUAUACAUUUUUUUUUACAAUUUUAUCAUUGUUUUUUCUAUAAUCUUUAUUUCUCUAUAAAAUCUAAAACUCCACUCCUGUUUUACAAACUUUGCAAAACAAUUUAAAUAUAGUGAGAAUAAAUUAAAAAGACAUAAUCCGCACGUAUUGCGGACAAUUUAUUAUCAUUCCAUUUUGUAUAAAAUUUUACAAAGAAGAUUUAAUUUCUUUCUGAUCACGAGAUCAUAUAUGUACAAUAUUAUUUCUAUAUUUUCCUGUAAUUAUAAAAUAUCAUAGACAAUUACAUAUAUAUGAAAAAAUAAAAAACAUUUCAGUAAUACUAAUUAUACGUUUGUUUUGGUAGCAUUAAUCUGUGAGGGAAAACAUAUUUUAACUGUCCGGCUAUUAUGUUCCGUAUGACCCAAAAUGAUAAUUUUGAAAAUACAUCCCUGUGUGUAAUAAUUAUAGUUGAAAAUUCAUGUCCAUUUUUAAUAAAGCUGAUGAUUUACUAUAAUUCCAAUAAAACACACAAAAAAAUUCUAAUAGUUUUAAAUAUGCAUAUAUUUUUGUAUAAUUAUAGACCAAUUUUAUAGAAUAUACCAUUUUUAUAUUUUUAAUAAACCAGUUCCAGCAUAUAUUAUAUUUGUUCAUUUUUAAAAUAAAAACACACAAAUUCAAUUAAUAUUAUAGGAAAAAAUCUGGGCGUAGCCCGGAAAACCCUCUAGUUCAUUUUAAUGAAGUAAAAUGAGGAAAGAAAACUGCUAGACUUGGCUAUAUUUCAUACGUUAACCAGAUUAAAAGAAAGCAAAAAAAGAUGGUGCUGCCCAGGAUCGAACUGGAGACCUUUUGCGUGUAAGGCAAACGUGAUAACCACUACACCACAGCACCUUAUUGAUUGUGAUAGUGUGUUUGUAAUCCAAAUAGUAAAUGUAAGGUUAAUUGCGAAUUUAUAUUCAGGGAGGAGAACAUAAGGAAAAUUGGAAAAAAAAAAUCAGAGAAAAAAAGAAAAAAUUACUUUAUAUUCAAAUAUCUGGGCAUAGAUAAAUAUAGAAGUAUCUUAAUUGUGAAUCUAAUCUAUAUUCAGGUCGCAGGGAGAGUGUGAAAAGGGGAAAGCCGAGAAACACGUAAAAUACGAAAUGACAGUAGAGGGAGAGAUUCGCUGUCCACGGAUACGACAGCGUUUCAAGGAAUAUUCAUUUAUUUCCAGCCAGAUGAUUCUACUUUACAAUUGACCGAAUUACCCAUCACUCCGACAGUUAAUUGCGAAAUCGCAGCCUUAACUGGACCGAACCACCACGCAGCCAUCUUCCCCCUUUUGUCCGAACGUGCCGCUUAUCUCUCUCCCACGAGAGUGUGUCACACAAUCGAACAUUUUUAUUUCUUUUUAAAAAAAUUUCGAUUUUUGAAGUAUUGCAAGAAAAGAAUCGUAUAAUUCUACUUCCUUGGCUUUUGAGAUUCACAAACACGCUUACGCAAAUUCGAUAUACACCAAGGACGAAGGAGCAUACUUUAUAAAGUUGAGGAUCCAGAUCGUGGAGAGAGUUAGAGAUAGAGAGAGGAUACGAUGCCGCCGGAAACAUCGCCGGCCAAACUCGGCAGAGCUUCUUCCUCCUCCUCUUCAUCGUCAUCUUCAAGCUCAGACCGUGCUUCCGUCAAAAUCGAGGAGAUUGAAGACGGAGGUAGUAGCGGCGUCGUCGUCAUCAAUGGCUCUGAAGUAGUGGAGACCAAACUAGAGUCUGCUGUCGCCGACAACACUCUGGCUGAAUCUUCAGGUAUCUCAGUUAGCUGAUUGAACCCAAGGCAGAGUUGGAUAGGCUUAAAGUUUAUCCUUUCUCUGGAUCCAAUCCAUUUUUGGAUGGUUUUGAUUUGUUCGGGUCCUAGUCAGCGAAUAGGACCUAAAAGGAACGAUUUUUUAGACUCUAGGCGGUCAAUGGCCCAGUGGUCUCGACGGAGCUUCGGUCCGUAUUGGGACCGGCUCUCCCCUGACACUGGGGCAAAAUUUAACAUCUGGACUUCCCCAGCGUCUGUUGACUGCUACAGACACUCGCUGCUGCUAGUGUGGAACCACUUCGGUGGGACCAGGAUACACCGGGUUAUUCAAAAAAACAAAAACAAAAAUGGCCCUAGACGUCCGCACUUACGUGGUUUUGAUGAUUUGGGGUUUGUGGGUUUUUUUUUUCAGGUGGUGGGAGUAAAAGCUUUGCUAGAGUAUGGACAAUGCCUGUGGAAGGUUCUUCGAGUAGCGAUAAAGCUGAAUCAUCAUCAUCAGCGUCAAAGCCUAGGUUAGACAAAUCAAAGAGUGAGAGGCAACAGCAGAAAGAGAAAGUCGCUCACAUUCUCGCCGAGGACGCCGCUAAGAUCUUCGAUGACAGACUCUCUGCAGGGAAGAAGGUACAAAACAUUCUAUUCUUGGGUUGUAAAUCUUCUAUUUUUAGUAGUGAAAGUCUUUUUUUUUUUUUCUUUAAAUGUCUUAUUUUGUUUUUUUGGCAGCUGAAAUUGUUGAACCGUAUAGCUACGGUGAAACAUGAUGGGACUGUUGAGUUUGAAGUCCCGGCAGAUGUUAUCCCACAGCCUAUUGCUGUUGACCGUGAAGAAGAUUCCAAAAACGGUGUUUGUCCUGAUGAGUCUAUCGAUGGGGUGGAUCUUCAGUAUAUCCCUCCUAUGCAGAUUGUGAUGCUUAUCGUUGGAACGCGUGGUGAUGUUCAGCCUUUUGUUGCGAUUGCCAAACGCCUUCAGGUUUGGCACAUAUCUUAUUAAUUUUAUAUUUUGAAAUUUUUUUUGGUGUUGUAGUAUAUUUCUCUUCAUUCUUCUCUCUUUCUUGUUCAUAAUUAAUGUAGAAAUUUUAUUUGAUACAGGACUAUGGGCAUAGAGUUAGACUUGCAACUCAUGCGAAUUUCAAAGAGUUUGUUUUGACUGCUGGUUUGGAGUUUUAUCCUUUAGGUGGAGAUCCAAAAGUGCUAGCUGAAUGUAUGUAUUAACCAAACAUUCCCAUUCUUCUCUUCUUCGUUGUUACUUUAAUCUAUGUGUAGCUUUAAAGGUUAUUAUUUAUUUAUUCAUUGGUUUGCUUGCUACGUUUGUGUACAGAUAUGGUUAAGAACAAGGGGUUUUUACCAUCAGGACCUUCAGAGAUUCCGGUUCAACGAAACCAAAUGAAGGAUAUCAUAAAUUCUCUGCUUCCAGCAUGUAAAGAACCUGAUCCAGAUUCUGGUAUCUCCUUUAAAGCCGACGCAAUUAUCGCCAAUCCUCCAGCAUAUGGUUAGUCUCAGUAGCUUUUGAAUUUGAAAUGUUUUGUUUUCCCUAGCUUCCUGAGUUAUCUCAGAGAUUCACUUUGAAUGGUAACUAACUUGAGAAUCGCUGUUGCAGGACAUACACACGUGGCAGAAGCACUGAGGAUACCUAUUCACGUGUUUUUCACCAUGCCUUGGACGUAAGUCUUGUAUUGACCGAAUGAAUGAAUGUUACUUUGAACUCUCUUUCGGUUCAUAACCAUUCACUAUCUUUCUGCUAUUAAACUAAUGAUACAGGCCAACCAGUGAGUUUCCACACCCUUUGUCACGUGUCAAGCAACCAGCAGGAUACAGAGUGAGACUUGUUUUACUCAGAUAUUGCUAUAAAACUUGACUUCUUCUUUUAACAUAAUGCAAUUUUCAGCUUUCGUAUCAAAUCGUGGAUUCAUUGAUCUGGCUUGGAAUAAGGGACAUGAUAAACGACCUUAGGAAAAAGAAACUGAAGCUAAGGCCCGUUACAUAUCUAAGUGGAACACAAAGCUCUGGCUCUAAUAUUCCAUAUGGAUAUAUGUGGAGUCCUCAUCUAGUCCCAAAGCCCAAAGGUAGUGUGUCUCCUAUGAACUCACUCAUGAAUGCUUUUCUUCACUUUUGAUAAAUAGAAAAUUUAGAUUCAAACUUUUCAAUUUAUUUUCAGACUGGGGCCCACAAAUAGAUGUAGUGGGAUUCUGCUUCCUUGAUCUUGCAUCAAACUAUGAACCUCCUGCAGAACUCGUGGAAUGGCUAGAAGCUGGUGACAAACCUAUUUACAUCGGCUUUGGUAGUCUCGUGAGUUUUUUUUUUUCUUGACCUGAAUAGUAUUUUCUUAGAGGAAAUUUGAAAAUAAUGUCUCUUACCGUUGUGUGUUUAUUAGCCUGUGCAAGAACCAGAGACAAUGACUGAAAUAAUUGUGGAAGCACUUCAAAGAACCAAACAGAGAGGAAUCAUCAACAAAGGCUGGGGUGGCCUUGGAAACUGUAGGGUCUACUCGUUCUUUGACAUUUCCUUUAUUGCAUACUUGCCUGUUUGGUAUAUUCAUCAUUAUACAUGUUUGAUGUGGCUCUCAUGCAGUGAAAGAACCGAAGGACUUUGUUUACUUGUUGGAUAAUGUCCCUCAUGAUUGGUUAUUCCCAAGAUGCAAGGCAGUGGUAUGUCUACAAUAAUCUUGAACAUCCUCUUGCUUUGUCUAGUCCCUUAUUUGAUGUUUAGCAUUGUGUGUUCCCUUUUGUUUUGAAAUUUGUUGUUCUUCUGCUUUCAGGUUCAUCAUGGAGGUGCUGGAACAACGGCUGCAGGUCUUAAAGCAGCGGUAAGUUUAUUUUUGAUUGUAAGCUAUAAAAAAUUCUGCUUCAUGAGAUGGGACUUUAGUAGUUAAUAUGGAAGUGUCUUGCCUUUUUUCUUAAACAACACAGUGCCCAACUACAAUAGUGCCUUUCUUUGGAGACCAACCUUUCUGGGGAGAAAGAGUGCACGCUAGAGGAGUAGGUCCUGCACCAAUCCCAGUAGACGAAUUCUCACUCCAUAAGCUUGAAGAUGCCAUUAAUUUCAUGCUUGACGAUAAGGUAAGAUAGUGGACUUUAGUAGUUUAUAUGCACAUCCCAGGAUAUGAUCAUGGUAAUGCCAUUGUGGUUUACAAUUGAAACUGAGCAUGUGUAUAAUUGGGAACAGGUGAAGAGCAGUGCAGAGACACUAGCAAAGGCGAUGAAGGACGAGGAUGGUGUGGCUGGAGCUGUGAAGGCCUUCUUCAAACAUCUUCCGAGUAUGAGACAGAAUGUUUCGGAUCCUAUCCCUGAACCAUCGAGCUUCCUAUCGUUUAGAAGAUGCUUUGGCUGUUCGUAACUUUCUCCUCAUUGACUCUUGUGCAUUGUUGUGACCUCUUGUUGUAUGUUUGUUUGUAUUUUUCAUGUUCCUUGGUUUUGGUUCUACAACUCACUCAGGGAUAAGUUGUGAAAAAUACUUGGGAAUUUUAAUGUUUAGUUGAUGCAUAUAAAUUUUUGAUUUGUCAUAAAGUGGAAAACAAAGAUGUGUUCUAAUUUUAAAUAUCAUAUGGCAUUUUGUUUCAGUGUCUUGAGAUGCAACUUCUGUGGAAGGGUGUGCAGAAACAACUCAACUCAAUGAUUGUCUGCUUAUCAAACCAUGAUUAGUUAAUUAUUGCAUAAUUAUAAACCAUUAUUAGCAGUUAAAAAUUGUGAUUACCUUUGUAAUGACCAUAAGGUACUACAAUGCUCACAUGGGGAAAAGUCAAUACGCUGCACUAAGGAGGAAAAGUUAUCCAGACACUAUGAGACCUACUAUUUUAAUUAGCUGUCUUAUAUGAUUAUAAUUAUAAAUUUGUAUUUUUCCUUUCAUUGUCUCUAACAAAUUAUUUAUCCAAUAAGUUUGCUAGAGAAAAAGAGAGAUGAGGCAUACCAAUCACAUGACAUGAUACUGUUGUUGGCCAACUCAUUAUUGGCAUCUCACUAAACACUUACAUUUGUGCCAAGUACACAUACACAUGUGUUUCCAAUUUCUAUAAGAAUAAAAAUGCUUUUAGAAAUCUAAUCCAUUUCCCAUCCUUAUAUUGUCAUUUUAAUACAUUAUUAUAGCCUCUAUAUCAAUUGUAAUAGUAUAUUUUGAGAAAAAAACUACUAUAUGUUUGAAAGCUUUAUAACUACACACAUAUAUAUAUAUAUAUAUAUAUGAUAUGCCAGUCUUUUUUUUUUUUUGGUAAAAAUGUUAAGUCCAGUCUUUUUUUUUUUUGCUUAUGAUUCACAAUCUUUGUAAUUCAAGUAUAUACAGAACUAAAAGAAAACGUACGAGAAAGGGAAUAACAUCGGUGUAUUGAAAAACCAUAGGUAGAUAGCAAUAUAGGAUAUAAUAUAUAACAUCGCUGUAUAUAAAACUAUAUACCUAUUUUAUAUGGUUUACUAGUAUUAGAUAUUUUCUUUAUUGAUUCUAUAUUUUAUUGUUCUUUUCCAAUGAAUUUACCAAUAAGCUAAUGGUGAUAGGCUACGCAGCCUUCUUAUAUAAUAACUUCUCUCUCGUAGCCUUUCUUCUACGCUUCUUCUCUUAUUCCUUUUCCUUUCUUUUUAUCUCGAGAAAAACUCUGCUUCGAGCAGAGAGAGACAACUAGACAAAACAGAGCAAGAAGAACACAGUCAUAACAAUGGCUGUCACAAAACUUAUCCUCUUUGCUUCUGCAUUACUUGUAACAACGCUGUUUGUCGGCGUUAAUUCAUCCAGGUAUCACUUAUUAAUAACAUCAUCAUAUUUGUUUUUAUUUGUAUACAUUGACGUUUUUUUAGCUUAACUUUUUACGUAUUAUAUAGUUCAUGGAACCAAUCAACUAAGCUUAGUUACAUGAUUCAUCAACGGUGAAAAGAAUGCCAGUUUUCUCUCAUAAAUAUAAAACUUACAGAAGUUCUAUAUCAGUGGCUGAUGAGAGUUUUUAAAACAAACAUAUAGAUCAUUUUCAUCACUAUGAUCGUAGUGUAUAUUGUAUAGUUAUUCCACUCCUAAAGAACAGGAAACUGUUAAUAAUUUAUAGUAUAAUUAUAUAUCAUUGUUAUAGAUGAGACUGUAAUUGUUAGAUUGUUUAUUAUAUGCUUUCCAGGUCGAAUGAAACAUGGCAUGAACAUGCAGUUGAGAAACCAGAGGAAGUAGCUGCCAUGGUGGACAUGUGAGUUUCUCUUUAAACAAAAUAUAUUCUACGAAUACAGAUCAUUUUCUAUAUAAAUGUGACCUUUUUCUUAUUCUCAUAAUCCUCACAUGCAAGUCCAUCGUGGAUUCGUCAUAAAAGGCAAUAAUGCUAAGAGUAUCUAAAUAUUAGAAAGAAGUAUGAUAUUUUAGGUGGUGAAUGAUGUUGUGUGUAUUAUUAUUGUAGCAUUGGUCCAGGCUCGCGAACAUGUGUAAUGUUUUUCAAUAUUAAUCUUUGCAACAAUGAUUGGCCAGACCCUUGCACAUGCUCAUGCCACAUGCAGUGACGCAUACACUUCAUGACAUGUGUUGUCUUUUUAACUUGGAUUUUUCUUGAAACCGAUAGAUAAACAGUACGAAAAGCUUAUUCACAUAUAUAAGAUUUUUUUUACCUGUUUUGAUUUUCAGUACAAUAAAACUUUUGGUCAACAAAGGUUAAGCAAUAAUAAUCAUAUAUAUAUCAUUGAGAAAUAUUACAAGCUAUGAGAUCAUUUAACCCCAACCAUGGUCCAUUGACCCAAACCCUUUCUUGGGUUUCCUACUUUAUGUGGAGUUGCCUCUUGUCUUUGGGGUUUUCUGUAGAGUUUGUAGUGACUGUUUUUAUGUUCUAAUAAAAAUACAUUUCACACUGGUAAAUCGAGUUUUUUAAGCAAAUCAUACUACAUAUUUGGAAACCCAAAUGUAGAAGCUUAUGUUUGAUAUCUCAAACACAUCAAUUAAACUAUGCAUAUCAUCAAAUUAUAUUUCUCCAUUUUAUUCUAUAAAAAUCACAGUGUUAGUUUAUUGAUAAAUAUUUGGUAUUUUCUUAUAUUAAUAAAUGUAUAUGAGCUUCCAAAAGAGCAAUUAAACUAUACUGCCUUCGUUUUUAUAGAUAGAUUUUUUUUUUAUGUUUUCACACAUAUCAAAAAACAUAUUAAAAAUUUAUUAUAAAUACAUAUUUUCUUAUAAUUUUCAGUUUUCAAAAAUAUCCAGCCAAUAGCAAUUAAAUAAUCUCAAUCAAUUUGUUAAAAUUUACAAUUUAUGCAUAAAAAUAGAAAAAAAAAUCUAAGUUUGUGAAACAAUAGUUUCUAAACAUCUAUAAAACAGAUAGAAUGUCUUCUUAUUCGAAGUAUACAUUACUAAUAGUAUAAAUUAUGAGUCCAAGAUUCAAUUUCUUAAACAAAGUGCAAUUUUGAAUUUUUUUAAUAAUUUUCGGUUAAUGUUUUUCUUUUACCUUUUUACCUAAUAAAGACAUUUUUAUUUUUACAGAGAAGUAUAAAUGUCUAGUGAUUAAUUAUCCAGUAAAAAAAAAUUCAAAAAUCUAUUUCACUAAUUCCACCACUUGCUGCUGAUCGUGAUCCACACAGGAGCAUUCGCAACAGCACGGAGCGGAGACGCUUAGGCUACUUCUCCUGCGCCACCGGCAACCCAAUCGACGACUGCUGGCGCUGCGACCGCAAAUGGCAGCUCCGCCGCAAACGCCUCGCCGACUGCUCGAUCGGAUUCGGCCGCAACGCGAUCGGCGGCCGCGACGGCCGCUACUACGUCGUAACCGACCCCGGCGACGACGAUCCCGUCACCCCCAGACCGGGAACGCUCCGCCACGCCGUGAUCCAGAACGAGCCGCUCUGGAUCGUCUUCAAGCGCGACAUGGUGAUCACCUUGAAGCAGGAGCUGAUCAUGAACAGCUUCAAGACCAUCGACGGCCGCGGCGUCAACGUCCACAUCGCAAACGGCGCGUGCCUCACGAUCCAGUACGUUACCAACAUUAUUGUGCAUGGGAUUCAUAUCCAUGACUGUAAGCCCACGGGGAACGCGAUGGUGAGAAGCUCUCCGUCGCAUUACGGGUGGAGAUCGAUAGCUGACGGUGACGCGAUCUCGAUCUUUGGGUCGAGUCAUAUCUGGAUUGAUCAUAACUCGCUCUCGAAUUGCGCUGAUGGGCUUGUGGAUGCUGUUAUGAGCUCCACUGCGAUUACAGUCUCUAACAACUUCUUCACUCACCACAAUGAGGUAUUAUAUAGAAAUUCUAUGAAUUAAUAAAUUUUUAACUAUUCUUGAGUUGGAUCGGUGUAAAAUAUAAAAUAAUGAAUUUCACUGUAAAUAUAAAUUAAUAAAUAAUAUAUAUAAUGUUUAUAGAAAUAUUAAUAAUAUAUUGUAUAAUUUGUUUUUUUUUUUUUAAAUAGUGACUAUCUUUAUAUUUUAUAAACAUUUCAAAAUAAUUUAUUUGUCAGUUUACACCUCAAAAUGCAUCUAAAUUUACGGUUAAUAUUUUUAGUACCAAAUAAUCAAAUAAUAACAACGUAAAUUUGUAUCUGUAAAUUUAAUCAAUAUAUGUAUGGUAAAGUCAAAUAUUCUUUUUAUUUCUACUUAAAACAUGUAUCAAAAUCUACAAAUCUAUAAAAUAACUUUUUGUUAAUUAUUAAGUAAUAAAAUAUUAUAUUUCUAAAGUUAUUAAUUUAAAGAGUUUUUACUCUCUAUAACUAAAGUUUCACAUUUUAUAGGGUUUAUUGGAAUUGAGAAUUAGGGGUUUAGUAACGGUUGCGUGUUGUUUAGGUUAUGUUGCUGGGGCAUAGUGAUUCAUACACAAGGGACAAAGUGAUGCAAGUUACAAUUGCUUACAACCAUUUUGGUGAGGGUCUUAUCCAGAGAAUGCCAAGGUACAGAACCUCAAGCUUUGCUAGUUAUAUGGUUUGAGAAGUUUUGUAGAUUCGAAAGACGAAUGAAGAAACAUAUAUGGUGUUUGCAGGUGUAGGCAUGGAUACUUCCAUGUAGUGAACAACGACUACACACAUUGGGAGAUGUAUGCCAUUGGUGGUAGUGCUGGUCCGACUAUUAACAGUCAGGGGAAUCGAUUUCUUGCCCCAACAAACCCAUUUGCUAAGGAGGUAUGUUUCGAUCUUUUUCAAGUGUGCUGAUGCCAAACCAUAUUGAUGGUGUGUAGUCUUCCCUCUCUUUUGUCAAGAGAAAGAGGUCUUAAUGUGUCAUUGAUCUUUCUAACAAGAUUUGAUUGCAAUGAGAUUGAUGAUUGGUGAAUGUGGCAGGUGACUAAGAGGGAGUACACAGGACAAUCAAAAUGGAAGCACUGGAAUUGGAGAUCAGAAGGAGAUCUUUUCUUAAACGGAGCAUUUUUCACACGGUCUGGAGCUGGAGCUGGAGCCGGCUACGCCAGAGCUUCGAGUUUGUCGGCCAAAUCAUCCUCACUCGUAGGCACCAUGACCUCUUACUCUGGUGCUCUUAACUGCAGAGCCGGUCGCAGGUGUUAAUAGAUCAAAUAAUCAGAAAAGCCAUUUUAUUGGUCUUGAAGAAACAAGUGAUCGAUAAGUUUUUACCGAAUGUCAGCCUCUCGUUUUCUUCUUUAUUUUAACUUUUGGGGUUCAUGCGAUAUAACACUUCCCUAUUGGAUGCGGAGGCCUAGUUUAAACGCCCUCAAGUGUAAUAUAAAGCUGUAUGAAUAUUCUUCUUGUCACCUACGUUGAUAUAAAGUUGUUUCCUUAGUCGUUUAUCUUGCUUCUAGUGGUCUUAAAACACUAAAUGAAAGCUUAGUACUUGGUGGGGUUACUUCCAAAGGAAUCAAUAGUGAAAUGGUGUGAUUGGAUAAGUGAGUAAAGGAAGUGAAUGUGGUAGGGACAUGUGGAACUUAAGAAGGAAACAUGGAAGAGACAAUAAGCACAUGAGAUUGCAUAUCAUGACUCAUGAGGAGAAGGAUGCAAGUGUGCUUUAAAGAAGAAGAAGGGUCUCUUUUUUCGAGUCAUGUGAUGUUUGGUUUGGCCAACGAACAUGUUACUGUUUCUCCUCCUUUACCACUCGGUUCGUUUAAUAAGACAAAUCAAAUUAGUUCAAAUGGGGUAGUAAUGUAAUGAAGGAGAAGCAGUAACAAUGUAACAUGAUGUUGACCAAGCAUAUGACUAUUCAUUUAACCAGAGUAGUGUAUGCCACUAUACACAAUACAUGCUAAAUCGCAUUAACAAGAACGGUUAUCAAGAAUGAUAAAAAAAACGAUCAAAACUGUAUUAAAAAUUCAUAAAAUUCAUUGACUAAUGUUUUUUAUUUAUUUCAAAAACAUUUAGACAUGCAAUAAUGUUUAGUGAUGGAGCUUAUUACAGCAUCCGCAACGGGGGACGUCGAGAGUCCUUAGCGUCCUAACCUAGGCAAACUAGAUUAUAAUAAUAUUAUUUAAGCUAAAUAACAUAAGGAUCAAUCCGUAAAUAAGGAUUUACCGGACUUGAUCCUUAGAGACGUGCCAUGAUUUGAUUCGUUUGGUCGGCUUUUGCGUUUGGUAUUGGAAAAAAAAAGAAAUCAUUUUCGACGGAAGACGCAGAAAAAAAGAGAGCUCUCGACGAAAGGCGAUUCGAUCUGUCGGAACACGAAGGUAAAUCAAAGCCUUCUCAUGGAGUUUUUUUGGAUUUAGAUUAGGUUCAAUGUUGUAUUUCUCUCAAUUUAGGGUUGGGUUCUCGGUUUUCAAACGAUUUGGGGAUUUUUCCGUAUGAAGUUAGGGUUUCAAAUGAUUUGGGUUUUCAAUUGAUUUGGAGAUCUUUUCGUCUGUAGUUAGGGUUUAUACACGAUUUUGAUUUGAAACAAUUUGGGGAGCUUCUCUUUUGUUUUACCGUCGAUUAUUACAACCGAGUUACAAUCGAGUUUUACAAUCUUCUCGUUUGUUCUUAAUCUUUGGUCAUGUUUUGUUCUGACGGUUCUAACUCGAUCCCUCUGUUUUGUUCAAUCGAUGCUCGUUGCUGUUUAUAACUUCCCUUUGAUAAUCUUCUCGUUUGUUCUUAAUCCCUUUGCUCGUUGCUUUUUAUAAUCUUCUCGUUUAUAAUGUUCUUUGAUUGUUGUUGGUUAAAUGUAUUUUUCGCUUACAUAUCUUCUUCGCUUUAUCUAAUCUUCGCUUACACAAUUGCUUUCAGGUUAACGAAGCAUGGGACAAAAUUAUUCGUACAGCCAGCCUUCUUCAUCAGACGAGUUCGACAUAACUUCCCUUCUUCAAGCAGAAGCUGAACUGUACGCGGAUGAAGCUGAGAGUAGCUACAAUAUGGCAGGACCGUUUCAGUACCCACCUCAACCUGAGGCUGAUGAUGGAAUCUCAAUAAUAUGUUUGGCAUUUGGAAUGAUGUUCGGGAUAGGCGUAUACAUCAACAUUUGAAAAAUGAUUUAAUUGAACAUAUUUAGAACUAAUUUGGUGAUGAAGAUUAAUAAUUAUUGUAUCUUUAUGUUUAAUUAUUGUAUCUUUAUAUUUAAUCAUGCAAUAAAUAAAAAUUAAAUUUCACUUAAAAAAAAUUAUUUUUUUAUUCCUAAAGACUCCAAAUUGGGGAACACCAUUGGACACACUAUUUUGAUUAGAGUUCUUGACUAUUCAAACAAAAACAAAAAAAAAUACUAUAAUAGGACUCCAAGAAGGAGUCCACCAUCUCACGAUCAUCUUCUUCCCCGUCAGCAUGUAUCAAUCAGAGGAGAUAUUUAAAUCCUUAGCAUGCAAUUAUCAUGGUUCUGAAAAAGAAACUAAUGUGACUGAAACUAACAAUCGAACACAUUUGCCUCCAGACAUUUCUCCCUAACGCGAUAACCGUACAUAUAUGGUCCAGAGGACCAGAGCAGUUUACUUCAAUAUAUAAAUAAAACUGUAUGAGACAAAUCAGCAAUGACCUUUAGAUUUUCUUUUUGACUUUUCAGACCCUAAUAUGUAUAUUUGGAUGUGUAGGUUUUUGUUGGCAAAGGGUGGAUUAUGCGAUAUUGCGAUGUGUCUUAUAUAUAAACCAUUAUCCUCAACUAUUACUGCUAAUGAAAUGAGAAUUUGGUUUUUGAGCAAAACAAAGCGGUUAACUGAAGAAUGCAUGAAGACAACUUAACAGUGGUUUUUAAUAUCAAAGUCAAGUAUAUGAUGAUAGUAUUCAAAUGAUGUUGAUUUCCAUUAAAAAAAAAACAAAUCAAAUUUGUCAAAUAUCAAAAACUCAGAUGAAUGUAGAUAUGUUCUAAUCGCAGAGAUUUAUUGAUUGUUAUUGAUGAUUUUCAAUACAUUUAAUGGUCACAACAACACUGAUUCGGAUUUUCCCAGCCAACACAUUGGCCAGAUUGGUAUCCCAUCCUGAUGCAAGCAGUCGCACAGUCAAAAAUCAUUCCACACCGUCCAAUGCAUUGUCCGUCGGCUUCAACUUUUUCUACAUUUCACCCAAACCAAAAUAAAUAAAAAGAGUACUGAGAGAUAAGUAUAUAACAAGGAGUAUAAUAUUUUGCAUAGUUUGCUAUUAAAUAGAUAUCAUGAGAUCUGCAACUCAUAUACGGAAUAACCUGGAACCGUGAGAAAUAUGAUGAGUACUGAAGCAAUCAUUAGGAAGCUCAUGAAUCCAAUCUUGCAAUUCGUCUUCAUUGUAUUGUAAAUAUAUUACCUCCUUUUAUCAAUUCAGUAUAUCACCUUUGCUUUAUUGAGUAUUGAACUUGUAUAUACAAUUGAUUGGGUUGCUCUGUUCUUAUAUGUACAGAGUUGAAGGCAAGAAAGGGAAGACAAUAUUACAGGAAUAAUUACAGGGAAUAUAGACGUUGGUAGAGGAUCAAGAUUAUAUAUUUUCCAUACUCUUACAUGAUUUAUAUCUUUGAGUUUCUUUUAUUGGUUUUUAAGAUUCAAAAACAGAAUCUCAUUUUAGUUUAGCCAUCAUUAUAAGAAGAGAAAAAAAAGAAAUCAGGUUUGUAUUAGCUAUUAGUUACUAUUGGCGGAUACAAUUCAAAUAUUUUGUUCCUAAUCUAGCUCGAUAUUUGCGUUAGUCAUAUUUAUUUUAUAUAUUUUGUUAUAAAUCUGAUUUGUAUCGGUUUUUAUUGAUUUACACCUUUCUAAAUUUUGUUUCAAACAUUUUGUUCUCAAUCUAGGGAUAUUUGCGUUAUGCAUUAUAUUUAUAUACUAGUUUAAGAUCCGCGCCUUGCGCGAGAUGAAUAUUUUAUAUACACAUUAUUUUUACGUAUUAUUAUUUAUUUAACAUUUUUUAUAUAUUAUGAAACAAAUUAAUAAAUGUAUAUUGAAUAAUUGAAAAACUAUUAACUGUUAUGUGUAUAAUUAAAUUGAGACAAAUGCAUAAAUUAAAGAAAUUAUUAUUUUUUAUUUACAGUCAUACAUUUAAGCAAUUAUUUUCUCUAUUUUGUAUUUUAUGUAAUUAAAUUAAAAUAAUAUUAACAUAGAUAUAUAGUAUAUUUUCAUAUGACUAUAUAUUAAAUGAAAAUUACUAAUCAUAUGAUUUUAUGAGCAUUUUUAUUUUUUAACAAAAUUUUAAACGAUUAAUAACAAAACUUUUAGUGUGGGACUUUUAAUAUUUUUUAAUAAUUUAUAAUCAUUCUUGAAAAUUAAAUUCAAAUUUCAAAAUUAAAAUACUAAGUUCUCAAUUUAAAGUUUUAAACCAUUGAUCACAAAAUUUUCAAUGUGAAACUUUCAACAGUUUUCGUAAUUUAUAGUCGUUUUUAAUAAUUCAAAAUAUAACAAUAUACAAAAAAAACUAAAAUUUUAUUAUAUGGUUAAUAUGAUUAUUUAAUUUAUUUUGAUAAUAUAACAUUAAACAAAAAUAAUUGAGGAUAUGUAAAUUGUCAUCAAAUCUUUAUUAUUAAAAUCAUUAAUUGUCAAAUAUAUAUUCUAUUUAAUUCCGUAACUUUUAUUUAAGGAAAGAAUAAAAAAUAUUAAUUGUAAAUUGUCAAUUAAUUUAUGGUUCAUUUAAUUUUUUUGGCAUCGUUUUUUCUGUCUGGUUUAUUAUGCUAUUACAAAUGAGAAACAUUACAUAGACGAUAUUACAGCCGACAAUUCUACCUGCCUUAUGAGAAUUCACGCCUGACUGCAUCACCCUGAGUAACCCUAUGAGAUCCAUUCCUGACGGUACUCCUUGAUCCAUUUAAUUUUUUUGGCAUCGUUUAUGGUUAGUUUAAUAAAAAAUAUAUAAUAUAAGUUUAGUGGAUCAACAUAUUUCUCUAGAGAUUUUAAGAAGCAUUCUAGUGAUGACACAUGUGAUAGCUAAAAUGUUGUAAUGCUUAUCUUUUAAUAUAUAGGGGAUAUAUUUUAUAUCGGAUUUGUAUUAAUUUAUUUUGACCGACACAUUUCAAAAUAAUUAUUUCCAAUCUAAAUAGAUCUUUGAUCGCCUCAAUCUAUUAUACGUUACUUGAUAAGUUUAAAUUUAAAGAAACCUUAAUUUUAACUAGAACUUGAUGCGUGCAUCCGUGUGAAUGUUUAAUUUAAUUUGUAUUCAACAUAAACUCAUAAACCGCUGGUUUUAUAAAAAAUUCUCAUGUAUAUUUUUUUAUGUUUUGUAAUUUACAUAUAGAGUAGAAUAUAUUAUUUUAUAAUAUAUAUGUUUGAUAAUAAGUUUUUAUUUGAUGCAAUUUGAUGUAAUAUAGGAAAGGAUAUCUCCCUUUAAUACAUGCAAAAAUAUUGAAUGGUCAAUAUAUGAAUAUCGAUUUGGUUAGAUAAGUUUCAGAAUUGUAACUAAUUAAUUUUAGUGCAAAAAAAUAUAAAAAGAAAUAUUUAAUUUAUUGUACAUGCAAUCGCUGAAUGUGUAAAUAAAAGUAAGUAUUAAAAAUAUUUUUAUUCAUGUUUUCAAACACUUCUCACUUUUACUGUUAUUUAUGUUUAUAAAAAGUACCAAAAUGUACUUUAGUUUAAUAAUAUAGAUGAAUUAUGCUGAAACUUCAUGCCACUAAAAAGUAUUGGAAAAAAAAUCCAUUUUUUUCUAAAUCAUUUAAGGGUCUUAAAGUUUAAUUAUACACGCACAAUCUACUACAUACUUUUAUAGUUAUUAUAUUUCAACAAAUUGUAUGCAUUAUAUAUAUUUAAGUUAGGAUUAUUUUAUUUAUAAAAUGAACAUUUAUUUGUAUAAUAAAUAACAAGGAAGAGUUGAUAAGUUUAAAUUAUAUAUAAUAGAUAUAAUAUUUGAUAACUUUCAUCUAUUUUACACUACUUGAUAAGUUUAAAUUUAAAGAAACAUUUAGUUUAAUUAUAUUGAAACUUAAUGCCACUAAAAAAAUAUUUGCACACCCAAUUAUUUACCUAAAUCACAUAAGGGUCUUAAAGGUUAUUUACACAAGCAAUCUAUUAAAUUCUACAUACUUUUAUGUUGAUGAUUAUUAUAUACAAAAUUUAAGUUAAUAUUAUUUUUAUAAAAUGAACAUUUAUUUAUAUAAUAGAUCACAAAAUUAAGUUCUUCAUUUUCCACAAUUUUGUCAAUUUAUUGAUAUAUUUAUAUUUUGAUAAGUAAUAAAUUUUUAUUUUUAUUUCUUUUUUUUAGAAAUUACUGUAUUUUGGCUCAAUGAACUGUUUAUUUUUUUUUUCAUUUUUUUGAAAAUAUAUUUUUAUUUAUCUUUUUAUAUAAUAUGUUUUUCAGAAUAUUUCCUUUGUUUUUGCUAAAACUAUUUUUAAUAUAUACCUUAAAUUAUUUCUAGAUUCACUUUAAAAAUAUUGCUAUCACCAAGAUGUAUAUUGCUAAUUAAAUUUGUCAUGGAAGACUGUAAGCUGGUGCUUGGUGUGCUUCCUAUUUGGGCCGCCGCUGCUAGUAUGCACAUUGUUACUUGAGUUUCUUCAGAAUAUCUUUGAGAUUUUAGCUUUGAGAAGAGUAGGUGCUGAAACGGUUAACAUUUCCAAAAACACUUAAUAAAGUUCUUUAAGUGUUUGUGGUUAUUUAGAAGCGUAGAUGGCCUAGGUUUUAUCACCAUGACUAGUGCCAAAAUAAAGCGAAAUGCUAGAGAAGUAUACAUAAUGAAAUUAUGAGUUUUGUACAAGUUGAGCGCCAGGAGGGGUUAGAGAACUAUGCAUAAUGAAGUUAUGAAUUUUGACACAAGUUGAGUUUAAGGAGAGCUGCGCAUUGCCCAACUAUGAAUUGGCAGAAAAUAAUCCACCUUCCGUUUAGGUAUUGGAGGACUGACAUCAUUUUUGAGAUGAAAAAAAAAUACGAGAUAUAAUAAGAAAAAAAAACAAGCUAAAUUUCUCUCAGUAAUUAGAACUUAGAAGGUAAAGUUUAAUGAUCUACACAUGGAUGCGAUGCGAGCUCCAUAUUUAUAGUUAGAAAAGCUAAUACUACAAUUUUUUUGUAAGAAAACUUUCCUAAUAACUUGUUUAUAGUUAGAAAGCUCCUUAUUUAUAGUUAGAAGGCUCCAUAUUAAUGUUGCAUGCACGCAAUUAAAAUAAUACGCGCAACGGAUUUGAAAACACACUAGAGUUUGCUAUAUCUUGCAAGCGUUAGCAUAUGUAGGCAGUGGCUAAACUUUAACUUAAAUGUGUUCAUAAUUUCAUAUACAUAUUACAUAUCAAAGUGGGUAAAGUAAGGGUACAUUCCAAUAUUUGAAUAGGGUCCAUUGAAACUUAAAGCCUCCCUGCCUGCAUGCAUGACUUCGAGGAAGUUUUGGAUUCGGCGGGAACAAGAAACGAUAUUUAAACCUGAAUUUUGGAAAUAUGAAAUACAGAAAAAUCGUAACUUGAGGCCAAGAUGGCCCAAUAGCUGCCCAUUAGAAUGCUUACAAACAUUUCAUCAAAAAAGAAUUACUAAACGCCAGUUGUGCGUCCCUCCUCAAGACACUAGGGGAAAACCCAAUGAACCAGGAGCACAAAGUGGCUCGUUAGGUGUCUGGGUCGAUAGGGGCACCGGUUCUAGCCUGUGAGAUCCUGUUUGCUUAGAUGGUCACUAGGCGAAGUGUUGAACCUGUGUACUGUUUAGACCUUCCAAAUACGGCAAGAAUGCUUUCCCAAUCAUUAUAUAUAUGUCUACUAGACAGAACACCACUGUCUGCAACAACAACAACACCAAAAAAACACACGAGAAUAAGUUACUGGUCGCAAAGUCAAAAGUUUCUUUAAAGCUAUCUUUAAAUUCCCGAUUUGAUUUUUACCUUUCGGACAUCUGCGCUUUGGUUCCCAAAUGCUUCAAAAACCGCAUGCAUGGAGAAUGCAUGAAGCCAACUUAACUUUGGUUUUAAAUAUCAAAUUAAAGUAGUAUAUGAUAAUAUUUAAAUGAUGUUGGUUUCCAUUAAAAAAAAUCAAAUUUGUCAAAUGCCAACAACUCAGUCGCUUAUAGAUAUAUAUUCUAAUAGCAGAAAUUUAUUAAUUGUUAUAGAUGAUUAUCAGUGCAUUCAGAUAUGAAACAUUUAAUGGUCACAACAGCAUUGAUCCGGAUUUUCCCAGCCAACGCAUUGGCCAGAUUGGUAUCCCAUCCUGAUGCAAGCAGUCGGACAGUCAAAAAUCAUUCCACACAGUCCAAUGCAUUGUGGCUCGGCUUCAACUUUUUCUACAUUUCACCGAAACCAAAAUAAAGAAAAGAGUAUUGAGAUAUUAGUAUAUAAUGUGUAUAAUAUAGAGAUACAAAAUAGUAUAUAAUGUGUAUGAUACUUUGCAUAGUUUGCUAUUAAAUAGAUAUGAUGAGAUCUGCAAUCAUAUACGGAAUACCUGGAACCACGAGAAAUAUGAUGAGUACUGAAGCAAUCAUUAGGAAGCUCAUGAAUCCAAUCUUGCAAUUUAUCUUCAUGGUAUUGUAACUAUAUUACCUCUUUUUCUUAUCAAUUCAAUAUAUCACCUUUGGCCCUUUGCUUUAUUAUAUCUUUGAGUUUCUUUUAUCGAUUUUAAGAUUCAAACAGAAUCUGAUUUUAGUUUAACCAUUAUAAGAAGGAAAAGAAAAACAAAAUCAGAUUUUUAUUAGACUAUUAGUUACUAUUGGCGGAUUUUGUUCCUAAUCUAUAUGGAUAUUUGCGUUAUUCAUAUUAUUCCUAAUCUGAUUUGUAUCAAUUUUUAUCUGCACAUUUCUAAAUUUCGUUUCAAAUAUUUUGUUCUCAAUCUAGAGAUAUUUUCGUUAUUCAUUAUAUUUUUAUAUAUUAUUUUCUUUUUUUAUAUCUGCUUUGUAUUGAUUUUCAUUUGACUGACAUAUUUCAAAAUAGUUAUUUCCAAUCUAAAGAGAUCUUUGAUCCCCUCAAUCUAUUAUACAUUACUUGAUAAGUUUAAAUCUAAAGAAACCUUUAUUUCAAAAAUUUCUGUUUUAUUCAUUUUUAUACAAAAUAUGUUUUUCUGAAUAUUUUCUUUGUUUUUGCUAUAACUAUUUUUUUUUUAAUAUAUCCAUUGUAGAUAACUAUCACUAUGACUAGUAUGCACAUUGCUACUUGAGUUUCUCAGGAACUAUCUUUGAGAUUUUAGCUUUGAGAAGAGUAGAUUACCAGACGGUUAACAUUGCUACUUGAGUUUCUCAGCUACUUGAGUUCUUUAAGUGUUUGUGGUUACUUAGAAGCGUAGAUGGCCUAGGUUUUAUCACCAUGACUAGCUACAGAAUAAGGGAAGGUUUAAUGAAAUUAUGAAUUUUGCACUAGUUGAAUGCAAGGAGAGAGGUACGAACAGGCAUAGUAUAAACUGGCAAAAUAGAUACCAUUAAGAGAUUGGAGGUCUGACAAAAAAUUUGUUGACAUAAUAUUUUUGAGAUGAAAAAAAAAUACGAGGAUAAUAAGAAAAAAACAAGCUAAGUUGCUCUCAGUAAUUAGAAAGUAAAGUUUAGUGAUCUAAAAAAUAAGCUAGUUGCUCUCAGUAAUUAGAAAGUAAAGUUUAGUGAUAAAAACAAAAGCUAAAGUUGCUCUGUUCGAACAUUUUAUUUUUAUUUUUAUUUUAAAUCAAUAAUAUGGAAAUAUUGUUUUAAUGCAUAGUUGCAUCUUUUACUAACAUCGAUGAAGGUCAAAGAGGUUUGAAACCUCUGUUGUCUCUGUUUUUCUAGAGAAUAACGAUUUAAUAGUGGUUAGACCACCAAUUUAGGGAGUAUUAUGAAGUUUUACUAAAUUAAUUGACAAAAAAUUAAAUUGAUGCCAAGUACCAUAAAAAAUAGUUUAAUAUACAUUACUAUACAAAUGUAGAAUGUCUUUAGAAAUUUUAAAACAACACUAAAGAUCAUAGGCUUCAGAAUAUAGAACAUUUACCGAAAAACUCAAUACUUUCGUAGGGUUUAACACAUACAUUUUGAUAAAAAUUCAAAAUAUAAAAAUAAUGUUUUAAUGCAUAGUUGCAUCUUUCAAUAACAUAUGAUGAAAGUCAAAGAGGUUUGGAACUUUGGUUGUUUCCGUUUCUCUAGAAAAUAACGAUUUUAUAGUGGUUAGUCCAUCAAUUUAGGGAGUAUUAUGAAGUUUUACUAAAUUAAUUGACAAAAAAAUUAAAACGCUGCCCAUGUACCAUAAAAGAGAGUUGAAUAUAUAUUACAACAAAUGUAGAAUGUGUUUAUAAAUUUUAAAACAACUCUAAAGAUCAUAGGCUUCAGUAUAUAGAGCAUUCACCGAAAAAUUCAAUAUUUUCGUAGGGGUUAACACAUAGAUUUUUAGAAAAUUUCAAAAAUAUGUAAAUACUGUCUUAAUGCGUAGUUGCAUCUUUCGCUAACAUAUAUGAUGAAGGUCAAAGAGGUUUGGAACCUUCGUUGUCUCUGUUUUUCUAGAGAAUAGCGUUUUAUAGUGGUUGUUCACCAAUUUAGUGAGUAUUAUGAAGUUUUAAUAAAUUAAUUGACAAAAAAUUAAAACCUUUCGUAGGGUUUAACACAUACAUUUUGAUAAAAAUUCAAAAUAUAAAAAUAAUGUUUUAAUGCAUAGUUGCAUCUUUCAAUAACAUAUGAUGAAAGUCAAAGAGGUUUGGAACUUUGGUUGUUUCCGUUUCUCUAGAAAAUAACGAUUUUAUAGUGGUUAGUCCAUCAAUUUAGGGAGUAUUAUGAAGUUUUACUAAAUUAAUUGACAAAAAAAUUAAAACGCUGCCCAUGUACCAUAAAAGAGAGUUGAAUAUAUAUUACAACAAAUGUAGAAUGUGUUUAUAAAUUUUAAAACAACUCUAAAGAUCAUAGGCUUCAGUAUAUAGAGCAUUCACCGAAAAAUUCAAUAUUUUCGUAGGGGUUAACACAUAGAUUUUUAGAAAAUUUCAAAAAUAUGUAAAUACUGUCUUAAUGCGUAGUUGCAUCUUUCGCUAACAUAUAUGAUGAAGGUCAAAGAGGUUUGGAACCUUCGUUGUCUCUGUUUUUCUAGAGAAUAGCGUUUUAUAGUGGUUGUUCACCAAUUUAGUGAGUAUUAUGAAGUUUUAAUAAAUUAAUUGACAAAAAAUUAAAACGAUGCUCAUGUACCAUGAAAGAGAGUUUAAUAUACAUUAAUAUAAAUGUAGAAUGUGUUUAAAUUUUUUUAAAACAACACUAAAAAUCAUAUACUUUAGUAUAUAGAGUAUUUACCAAAAAUUCAAAUUUUUUGUAGGGGUUACACAUAGAUUUUGAGAAAAAAAAUUCAAAAUUAUAAAAAUAUUGUUUUAAUGCAUAGUUGCAUCCUUCACUAACAUAUGAUGAAAGUCAAAGAGGUUUACAACCUUUGUUGUCUCCGUUUUUCUAGAGAAUACCGGUUUUAUAGUGGUUAGUCCACCAAUUUAUGGAGUAUUAUGAAAUUUUACUAAAUUAAUUGACAAAAAAUUUAAAACGAUGCCCAUGUCCCAUGAAAGAGAGUUGAGUAUACAUUAAUAAAAAUGUAGAAUGUGUUUAGAAAUUUUAAAACAACACUAAAGAUCAUAGGCUUCAGUAUAUUGAGCAUUUAACAAACAAGAAAAGGGUUUAGGUAGGAUAGUGCGAUGUAGUCCAAUGGCUAAAGCUCUGCCCGCUUCUUGUAGAUUUUCAGAAAAUUUCAAAGACAUGAAAAUACUGUUUUAAUGCAUAUUUGCAUCAUUCACUAACAUAUGAUGAAGGUCAAAGAGGUUUGGAACCGUCGUUGUCUCCGUUUUUCUAGAGAAUAGCGAUUUUAUAGUGGUUACUUCACCAAUUUAGUGAGUGUUAUGAAGUUUUACUAAAUUAAUUGACAAAAACUUAAAACGAUGUCCAUGUACCAUGAAAGAGAAUUUAUAAUACAUUAAUACAAAUAUAGAAUGUGUUUAGAAAUUUUAAAACAACACUAAAGAUCAUAGGCUUCAGUAUAUAGAGCAUUUACCGAAGAAUUCAACAUUUUCGUAUGGGGGUUAACACAUAGAUUUUGAGAAAAAAAUUCAAAAAUAUGAAAAUACUGUUUUAAUGCAUAGUUGUAUCCAUCACUAACAUAUGAUGAAGUUCAAAGAGGUUUAGAACAUUUGUUGUCUCCAUUUUUCUAGAGAAUAGCGGCUUUAUAUUGGUUAGUCCACCAAUUUAGGCAGUAUUAUGAAGUUUUACUAAAUUAAUUGAUAAAAAAUUAAAACGAUGCCCAUCUCCCAUGAAAGAAACUUUAAUAUACAUUAAUACAAAUAUAGAAUGUCUUUAAAUUUUUUAAAACAACACUAAAGAUCAUAGGCUUCCGAAUAUAUAGCAUUUACCGAAAAAUUCAACAUUCAUAGAUUUUGAGAAAAAAUCAAAAAUAUGAAAAUAAUGUUUUAAUGCAUAGUUGCAUCCUUCACUAACAUAUGAUGAAGUUCAAAGAGGUUUAGAACUUUUAUUGUCUCCGUUUUUCUAGAGAAUAGCGACUUUAUAGUGGUUAGUCCAACAGUUUAGGGAGUAUUAUGAAGUUUUACUAAAUUAAUUGACAAAAACUUAAAACGAUGCCCAUGUACCAUGAAAGAGAGUUUAAUAUACGUUAAUACAAAUGUAGAAUAUGUUUAGAAAUUUUAAAACAACACUAAAGAUCAUAGCCUUCAGUAUAUAGAAUAAUUACCAAAAAAUUCAAUAUUUUGGUAGGGUUAACACAUAGAUUUUGAGAAAAUUUCAAAAAAUAUGAAAAUACUGUUUUAAUGCAUAGUUGCAUCUUUCACUUACAUAUGAUGAAGGUCAAAGAGGUUUUGAACUUUUGUUGUGUCCGUUUCUCUAGAAAAUAACGAUUUUAUAGUGGUUAGUCCACCAAUUUUGGAAGUACUAUGAAGUUUUACUAAAUUAAGUGACAAAAAAUGAAAAUGAUGCCCAUGUACCACAAAAGAGAGUUUAAUAUACAUGAAUACAAAUAUAGAGUGUGUUUAGAAAUUUUUUAAGAAAACAUUAAAGAUCAUAGGCUUCGUUAUAUAGAGCAUUUACCAAAAAUUUAAUAUUUUCGUAAGGAUAACACACAGAUUUUGAGAAAAAUUCAAAAAUAUGAAAAUACUGAUUUAAUACAUAGUUACAUCCUUCACUAAAAUAUAAUGAAGGUUAAAGAGGUUUGGAACUUUUGGAACUUUUGUUGUCUCCGUUUCUCUAGAAAAUAACGAUUUUAUAGUGGUUAGUCCACCAAUUUAGGAAGUAUUACAAAGUUUUACUAAAUUAAUUGACAAAAAAUUAAAACGAUGCCCAUGUACCAUAAAUGUGAGUCUAAUAUACAUUAAUACAAAUGAAGAAUGUGUUUAGAAAUUUUAAAACAACACUAAAGAUUAUAGGCUUCAGUAUAUAGAGCAUUUACCGAAAAAUUCAAUAUUUUCGUAGGGGUUAACACAUAGAUUUUGAGAAAAAUUCAAAAAUAUGAAAAUAUUAUUUUAAUGCAUAGUUGCAUCAUUCACUAACAUAUGAUGAAGGUCAAAGAGGUUUCUCCGUUUUUCUAGAGAAUAGCGAUUUUAUAGUGGUUAGUCCAACAAUUUAAGGAGUAUUAUGAAGUUUUACUAAAUUAAUUGACAAAAAAUUUAAACGAUGCCCAUUUACCAUAAAAGAGAGUUUAAUAUACAUUAAUACAAAUGUAGAAUAUGUUUAGAAAUUUUUAAAACAACAAUAAAGAUCAUAGGCUUCAGUAUAUAGAGCAUUUACCGAAAAGUUCAAUAUUUUCGUAGGGUUAACACAUAGAUUUUGAAAACAAUUAAAAAAAAUAGGUAUAAAUUUUUAAUAAUAUGUUGUCAUAAUUAUAAUGAUUUUACUGUAACAAAAAUAAGAAUUAUGGAAAAUUUAUUUAUAAAACAGAUACAAAGAAACUGAAUGAAUCAAAUAUAGUACUUUAAACUAUAUUUAUAUGUGUUGGUAUAUAUCUUAAUUUCUAAAUACAAGAAAUAUUGUUAUACCGUGACCAACUUUUUAGUUUGAAUUUUACCAAAAAAAACUUUUUAGUUUGAAUACAACUACCUCACAAGCCAUUCAUAAAUAUGUUUAUAUAGUAUUUCGUUAAAAUAAUAAUAUAUUCUGAUUAAUAAUUAUAAAAUUACUAUUUAUUAAUAAAUAAUUUUAAAUUAAAUUAUUUUGACCCAUGCAUAGCAUGGGAGUAACACUAGUUUUAGCUAAAUCGAAAGCAACGGUGGUGGGUCAGGAUAUAGUAAUUAAGACCGACCCAAACCGGUGGUUUGAACAUUGAAUUUGCUAAUUCGAAUUUUCUGAUUUGAACCGGGUCUUUUUUUAAGUUUACGCAAAAAAGGGGAAAGCAAACUUAAUUUAACCACAAGUGUACGAAGAAUUUUGCGUGAUACUUUCCAAAUUUGUGUUAUUUUUAUUUCCCUUAACAUUAAUGUAAAUCUGCAAAUUUUCAAAAGUUUCACAUUAUCUAGUAGCAUCUACCGCAACAAAGGAAAGAAAAUCUGUGAAUAUAUAUAUUUAAUUCGUUUCACCAAAAAAUGGAAAUUUUUUAAGUCGGUCGACCUUAUAUAAAUCUUCAUAAGUUGUCCCACUUUAUUCUUGACCCUAUCAAAAAAAAAGUUAGAAGAAGAAAGAUGGUUGCAUACAUCAAAAAUAACGUUUUUUUAGUUUUUAUGAUUGUUUUGCUUCGUGUUGUUUCAUCAUAUGCAAGACUUAGUAUGAUGGUUACAAAAGGUGAGAUCGAGUCCAUUUGCAAUAAAAAAGAUGUCGAUUCUACACUCUGUUUUGAGGUUCUAAAACCAAAUCCUACAAUUGCAAAGUUGGAUUUUACUGGUCUCGCCAACUUUAUGAUCAAUUAUACGUCUCGAAACGUUUCGGAUGUAUUGAAGGAAAUAAAGUUGUAUGAAGGCAACACGACGGAUUUACAGACAAAUAUGCGAAGAGAUGUAUAACCUUUCUCUUAUUUGGGAUGAUCAUGCUCUGAAAGCUUUGGGAGCCAAGGAUUACGACAGCGUAAACUUUAAUGUCGGAGGUACAUUGGGCAACAUGAUUACGUGCAAUGAGGAAUUAUCAACAAUGGAGCCAGUACCACAAUCCUUGAUCGCAAAGAAUACUGUUAUAAAAAAUCUGUCUAAUAUUGUUUUAACGAUUCUGGAAUGUUUCAUAAGAAAGGGAAGCAUCUAUUGUAGUCAUUAGCCCAACUAAUGAAGUUGUUUGGUUUUUAAGUUUUUUUUUCAUUCAAGUUGUUUUUCUUAGCUUGUUAUGCUUUAAUCUUUAUUUAUCUACUAGGUUAAGAAUAUUAUAUAUAAAUUAUUUUCAAGUAUUAUAUAUUUUUUACAUAUUAUGAAAUAAUAAAUAUAUAUUGAAUAAUUAAAAAUUUAGUAACUAUUACGUCUAUAAUUAAAUUGGUACAAAUACUUAAAUAAAUUUUAUUUAUCCAGACAAAUAUUUUUUGUAUUUUAUAUAUUAUAAAAUUAAGUUUAAAUGAUAUUAACAUAGAUAUAUAGUAUAUUUUUAAUAUUGAUAUCUGUUAAAAAUAUUUUAUACUCAUAUUAUUUUUGAUCGCUUAUUUCUUUAUAACAAAAUUUUUAAAUCAAUGAUAACAAUAAAAAAUUUAUGAGAUGUUUAAUAGUUUUAGUAAUUUAUAAUUUUAAGAACAUUCAAUGCAUAGUUUAAAAUCUAAAUAUUAAAUUGUCAAUAAUUGUUCAAAAUGUUUAUCAAAAAGUUUCAAAUCAAAUUCGAAAUUAAAAUACUUAUGUAUUUUAUAUGGUAUAUAAUUUAUUUUUAAAAAAUAUUAAUAUGCAUAUAUAUAAUAUUUAUUAAAUAAGACUUCCUAGUUCCUACUUAUGUAAUUUUGUAAUAAUUUUUAUCUUGUUAUAAGAUAAAUUUUAAACCAUGGAUCACAAAAAUUUCAGUGUGAGAUUUUUAACAACUUUAGUCAUUUAUAUUUGUUUUUUAAAAUUCAAAAUAUAACAUAUACGAAAAAAUCUAAAUUUUUAUUAUAUAGUUAAUGUUGUUGUUUAAUUUAUUUUAAAAUGAAUUAAAAAUGAUAGAGAAUAGACUAAUUUUUAUCAAACCUUUAUUAUUCAAAAUCAUUAAUUGUCAUAUAUACUUUAGUCACAUUAGGUAAUUCCGUGAUUUUUAUAUAAGGAAACAAUGAAGAACAUUUAUGAUUAAUUUAUGGUUUGUUUAAUAAAAAGUUUAUUAUAUAUUUAUAUGGAUCAACAUAUUUUUUUAAAGGAUUAUAAGAAUGAUUGUGGUGAUGACAUGUGGUUACAAAAAUAUGUUAUAAUGUUUCUCCUAUAUAUAGGGGAUUAGCGGUGGUUAAAAAAUUGUUAAAAGGAAAUUCAUCUUAUUAUUAAUCAUAUGCUUAUGGUUUACUCUUUUAAAUAUACUAUUCAUUAUAACAAAAAUACGUAAUUAGUACGAAUGUUGGCUCCAUAUUUUAUUAAAUAAAUUUCAUCCAUAUAGACACUAUAUAAACAAAUUAUAUGACUCUUUUUAAAAAGUCAGAAUAAUAAUAUUAAUAAUAUUACGUUAAUUUACAGAAAAAAAUGAUUGACUAAAAGAAAAAAUAAAGAAAAUUAAUUUAAAAUUAACGUAAAAUAGGGAAGAUCAAAGUGAUAAGACAGAGAAGCGUGGCAUAGAAUCAGUGGCUCAAAUCUCACAAAAAUCUCCAACUCUCCUCCUUGGAUAAGAGAAGUAUCCAGAAGCCUUUCACUUCCACUGAUCCAUCCUUCUAAUAUUCCCAAAACCAUCUCACAAAACUCACUCCUCAACUCUCUCUCUCUCUCUCUCAUCUCCAAGCCCCUCCGACCAAUGGCGGCGACAAUGGCAACAUCAGCCACAUGCAUGUCCUUAAACCCAUCUCCUCCUAAGUCCCCAAACCAAACCAAACCCAUCUCCUCAUCAAAACCCUUCAUCACCCUCCCAACACCACUAAAACCCACCGUCUCUCUCGCCGUCACAAGCACCGCCCUCGCCGGCGCCGUAUUCUCCACCCUCAGCUACUCCGAACCCGCCUUCGCUGCCCACCAGAUCGCCGAGCUCGCGGCAGCGGCCGCGGGAGGUAGCGACAACCGAGGACU